UGGUAUUUUACAAGUAUCCCUUCUUGAAUACUCGGUUCAAUAAAUAAGUUGUUCACACUUCACAGCCAUCCAUGUGCAUAUACAGUAAGUUAAUAACACAAAAUCCGAGUAAAUUUAUGCCACAACAAGGUUUAUUAUUGUUAUUUCAAAUAACUGAUGCGACAACAAAUAAUAUUAAUCACGGACAUCAUAUGAUAUUAGUAAGGCGUUGUUGAGGAUGAGAAGCAUGUACAACUCCUCGUUUUCUUUGAUGAGCGCCUCCGCACCAGGCAUAUCUGGAAGCUCUAACCAACACAUGAUGAUAGGGUUGUAAUUAAUAUCCACACAGUCGAGCAGAUGCAAGAACUGUUGCCCACUCUUGUCACCUUGGUAGUCCUUGAUCAGUCCGUGGCACACGUUGAGGCGUCUCACCACACCUUCAUACUCCAUCUCACAAUAACUAAGAACGUGCAUUGCCACUGUUCCCUUCUUGGCAUCUUGCAGCUUUUGCUUGAUCUUACCACUAGCGGCAGUGACACGGCUCUUAAAGAUGUCGACAGUGACAAGCACUAAGUCACGGAGGUCCUUAGCCUCGGCACUUCGAUUGUCCGACUGAAGGGUGGACAAACAGAAUUCUUGCGUGAUAGAUUUGUUGCAGGGGUUGUUGAUCGAGGCCUUCUUGCAUGCUUCCACCAUGAGCUUGGUCGCCUUGGGCUUGCCAGUGUCAGAGCCACUAGCAUGAGUGGAAAAAAGGAAGAAUAUGAUGGUGGAGAGGACGAUGGUAGUCCUUGGCAUUGCUACCAUUACUACAGGGCUAGCUAGAAGCCUUGAAGUACUGAAGCGCUGAGAGGGAGGUGGAGAAAAAUAGACAGAGAAGGAUGUGUAUUGCAGAGAUGGAUGGGUGGAUGGAGGUGAUGUACAUGAGGCUGAGAAUUCUUUAUAAUGCCUGCAAUGGGGUAUCAUAAAUGCAGUAUGCAGCUUUGGUCCAGAAUAUGUGUACUAUCGGUGUCCAGUAAAUGUUGAAUGCCCAUUUUGGAUCUCUACAUAUUAAUGCUCUCUCUAUGUUCACAAAUACACAGAUGCUCACUAUAGAUCUUGUUGUAGUAACACAUAUCUUACUUAUAUGAAUCCAUUAAUGCAACGUAGCUUGAUCAAGGAUAUCCCAAAUGAUUAGUGUGCACCGAAUGCCCAUAGAUAUGUUGAUGCUCAUUUUGGUACGUCUUAUUUGCAUUGGUGUUUUCUAAACAUCAUUUUGUAUAACUGAUUUGUUACUUCUACCUCCCUUUGGGGGACGAUUAUAUUUUCCCUCAUCAAGUCUAUAAUUGCUCAUUUUUUCUUUGCAAUUUUCGAGUAGUUACAAAUAAUUCUCAGGGAGCAGGCACUUAGUUAACUUGGUGACACAAUAAAUAUUUUUGUUAAAAUAUCAAAGUUUUAUAUCUUAAAUUUUUUUAUUUCCAAGUCGAUUAUUGUCUGAUGGGUUGACUUUUACAACAGUUGUAUUCCCCCAGUUAAAAAUCACAACUUAUUUUAGGGAUUAAAUGAUGCCAGCCGGACUAACAUAUCAUUCGUAGGCACUGUCAAAAAAUAAGCAUGUUUACUGCCCACCGCCUAAGAAAAUAAAAAAAAAUUACCAAUACCAACACGUCACAGUAUGGGUUUAUUUGGUUUCGAUUCUCGUUACUACGUAGUAGGAAGGAAAAAAAAGAGCUAUCGAUCAUAAGGAGGUAACCUGUAUCAUAGGUACAUGAUGCGCACGUACACGCCGGUAUCUUAUAUUUUAUAUUUUAUAUCUUAUAUUUACUAAUUGGAAGCACCUUUCAAGCCUUCUCAUUAAUCAACAUUAUAAAAAUUAAUUACACCGUUGUAUUAUAGAAUUUACGUCUAAGAUGAAAGGAGAACUUACGUAACAUAAACUUGGAAGGAAAAAAGAUAUAGGGAAAGGAGAAUAAAAAUAGAAGUAAAACAAAGAAAAUAAUUUAGAUGGGCCAGCCCAUUAUUGUUUGCCUUGUGCGAAAUUCUGACUAUUUAUGGCGCUGUGCGGAAAAUAGAGUUUUUCCAGCUGCAUGGGCAGAAAAAUAAGUGGGCUGGCUUUGCUGGGCCACCGCGCGUGGCCCACGUACAACAAUUCUUUUUCUAGCAAACAAACGCAUAAGACCUUUGUACCACCUCGGGUAGAAAGAUUGUUUUUUCGACGGUGAACGGAUGAAAAUAUAGGCAAAACGCACCUUGCUUCAUUAGUAGUAGCACAUAUGCCCGUGCAUUGCAACGGGAGAGAUGUUUCUUUGGAGAAGCAAUGGGAGAGAUAAUUGAUGUAUCCACCAAAAAUGAUCUCCAUAGCGGUGUGAUAGAGAGAGGAGUUGUGGUCUUCUAGCGGGUCAUGUUUCUCCCGCCAGAUAUUGAUAGUGGUGCACUUAGUCGGCAUAGCGGCAACCAUACAACUCGUGCAUUUUUUUCCUUUGGGUCAGUCUCUGUCUCGGGGUUGUGUCUGCCUCUACGUUUGGUAGCUAUGCGGCGACCUUCAGAGCACGGUUGCUUCGACCACUCUCUCUUAUGAUGGCGUAACCGGAUGAAUUACUAAUUGUAGCGCUUAAAUCCUGUUUCAUUAGCAUAUAUAUUUAGCGCAUAACCAGAUAUCAAUGUCCCUUCUUUAUUAGGGUUUAUUUUCUUUGAUUAUUUUAGCGCUCACGUGCCCACAACUAUUUUAUUCGAGCCAAACCAACAUAUUCUCUUUUAUUGGACCAAGAAAAAAUUGCUCCCUCAGACGACUCAGUAGGGAGUGUGGUUGAGGCCCAAUACAGCCUAUAUGACGCUAGUUGCGUAAAAUAACGUGUGAGAUGCACAUCAGUUCGUGUAUGGACCAACACACUGGUAGGCGCCAAGACGACCUAUGUUAGGAAGGCACGGAAAAAUCCAAAAAAUAAUGAGUUGAAGGAUCAAAAUCAUGUCCUGAAAGAGCCGACUACGUGCUCAUUGCCACUCGAAGAAACGAGUCCUACCAACCAAUGGCCAGCUCAAACCUUUAAGAUCAUACUCCAAUGUGAGAUUGGAUACAAUUUUUUUAACUGUUUAAAAAAUAUAAAUUGCUGAAUAUUCCUGAAAACAUGAAUAAUUUUUAAAAUCACAAACACUUUUUGAAAUUCUUUACAUUUUCAGAAAUACACAACAAAAUUGGAAACCCUCAAAAUUCACAAAUUUAUUUGAAAUCAUAAACCUUUUAUAAUAACAUGAACACGUUUUGAAAAUGUGAUUUUGUUUGAAAAAGAAACAUAUUUUGAACAUUCAAAACAUUUUUUGAAAAUGUGUUUCUAUAAACUUGGACAUUACUUUGAAUUUGCGAACAUUUCACUAAAACAAAAAUAUUUUUCAUAUUUGGAACAUUUCCUAAAUGCAUUUUUUUUGGGAAAAUCUCAAACAACUUUGGAAAACACAAAGAAAAAAUGGAACAUUUUUUGAAACGUGAACGAAUUUUGGAAUGAGAACAAAGCACUAUUGGGAAAAGGCUAAUUAGUGGCGCACAUAUUUUUGCUAUUAAUGGCGCACUAUAGGUGCGCCAGUAUUACCACGCCACUAGUAACAAAUAGUAAUGGCGCAUCUAUAGUGCGCCAUUACUAUGCCUAGAAGGUGCGCCAUUACUAUCUGACUUAGUAAUGGCGCACCACAUAGAAGUGCGCCAUUACUAACAAUUUUUUUUCAAAAAAAAUAUCCAAAUUUUUUCAAAUAUUUUUCCCUUUUUUUCUUAAUCUCAGGUCAAUAUGCUUAAUCUCAAGUCAAAUCGAUCCUAUUAAACCUUAUUGAUGUCUAGGACUUUGUUCAUGUUCAUGAGUGUGAUGAAAUUUCAAACUUCCCGGUCAUAUUACGUAUCAUAUUUUGAAAUGUUACUAGUGGCGCACCUAGCAAAUGGUGCGCCACUAGCAAGUUUGAUUUUUUUUGUUUUCCCCUCUCUAGAUCCUAAAAGCCCCGUAUCUUUCAUUCUGUUAGGUUUUUGUGGAUUCUGAAAAUCUUGUAACUUUUCGAGUAGAUGCUUUUUCAUAUAUAAAACUUUUUAAUCCGAGUUCAUAUGUAAAAGUUAUGCCCAUUUUACUAAAUUCCAGAGAGAUUUUGCAAAUAAAGUCGAAAUUUAUAUUUGUAAAUUUUCCCAAAACCUAGACCACAUAUCACAUGGAAAACUUAUUUUCUUUUAUUUUUUUGACAUUUCCAUCAUUUUCUUUUUUUUUCUAAAACUGAAAAGACGGUCCAGGGGGUGGGGGUGCAAAGAAAGUUAGUAAUGACGCACCUUCACAAAGUGCACCAUUAUUAUGUGUAUGACUUGGUCAAACCUUGGUCAAAGUUAGUAAUAACGCACUUUGUGUAGGUGCGUCAUUACUAAGUUUGACAUACUAAUGGCGCACCUAUGCAAAAAUGCGUCAUUACUAAGUUUGAUCAAGGUUUGACCCAGUCAUACACAUAGUAAUGAUGCACUUUGUACAGGUGCGCCAUUACUAUGUCAACUAGUAAUGACGCACUAUCCUCUAGUGCGCCACUGCCAACAAUUUUUUUUAUUUUUUCUUCAAAACUAGUACUAGCGCACCACACACCAGGUGCACCACUAGUAAUAUGUCAAUAAUGUUGCACCUGUAUCUAGUGCGCCACUGCAUAUAUGGUGCGCCAUUAAUGUCCACAUUAGCUAUAGCCCUUUUCCUAAUAGUGAAGAUUUAAUGUUCUGAACAUUUUUCGAAAAGGAAUAUUUAUUAACAUCCCAAACAUUUUUAAAAAACGGAUUUGUGUGAUAUUAUGAGUUUUAUUGAAAAUUUUGGUUUUACGAAAAAAGGGGAGAUAAAGAAAUAAACUUGAAAGUAAAAAAGAAAAAAGAAAAGAAAAGAAAAUAGAAACCAAUGGAGAAAGAAAAAUAGAAACAUAACACAGAACAAAAAAAAACGGUUCGACCGAGCUCGAGCGCCCGAUGCGAAUUUGUGACUAUUUUGGAAUGAGAACAAAUAUUUAUAUUAUAAACUUUUUCAAAAAGGAAUAUAUUUAAAGUUCUGAACAUUUUUUAAAAAAAUUGAUUCUUAUGAUAUUAUGAAUUUUUUGAAAAUUUUGAAUUUACAAAAAAAGGGAGAAAAAUAAACUUGAAAGGAGAAAACACCAAAGAAAAAGUGAAAGAAAUGGAAAAAAAUAGAAACAUAUUUUAAAGUUCUGAGCAUUUAAAAAAAUCGAAUUUUUAUGAUAUUAUGUAGUUUGUUGACAAUUUUGAAUUUACGAAAAAAGGAGAAAAAGGUCAACUUGAAAGGGAAAAAGACCAAACAAAAGGAGAAAGAAACGGAAAAAGAAAAACAGAAACAUAACACAAAACAAAAAAAAGAAUAUAUUUCAGCCCAGCUUGGGCGCCCAGUGCGAAUUUACGACUAUGUAACGCUAAUUGCGAUAAAUAGGAUUUUUCCACCUGCAUGUACACGAAAAUAACUGGGCUGGAUUUCCUGGGCCAAUACUGUGGGCGGCCCAUGUACGAGAUCUGGCGUUUUUCUUUUCUAAUAGACAAACGGACAAAAAAAUUGUACCACCUCGAAUAGAAAAAAAAUCUUUUCGUUGGUGAACGGAUGAAAAAAUCAAAGAAACACACCUUGCUUUAUUAGUAGGUAUAGAGGUAUAGAUAUAGAUAUAGAUAUAGAUAUAGAUAUAGAUAGUAUUGAUAGAAAAAUGAAAUUUUCCAUCCAUGCUAAUCUUAACAUAAAUUGUUUAAGAAUUCGUUGGUACACAUAAAAACAUCUAAUGUGAAUAAUCUAUGGUUCUUAUAGUAUUUGCUAGGAUAUCAUGUAUGUUAAAGGAAAGUCAUGCAUGCAUGUGUCCAUUAUUGUGUAUAGAAACAAAGUAUUUAUAAUUCUACCAUUCUUCCGUGGCAAAAACAAGCAUGUAUUCCUUCUUUUAGGUUAACUAAGAAAGGCUACAAUAGAACACUCGACCUUUAUGCCUUUUAGAAACUUCUAGAUCACGAGUGCAUGAUGCACACAAUAACUUUUGCGUUUGUAACUAUGUUUUCUACCAACAUAAAAAAUAUACCCUUAUAUAACCUUCAUAAAGUAGCACAUUCUUAUUUCCACAUAUCUUCUAUAAAUUUGACGUGAUUUUCCAUCACACAGCGAUAUUUUUAUACUUUUGUCACAAAAUUGGACAUAAACAAUCAAUCACAAAAUAGUCAAAGAAUUGUAACUUCAUUGGAUCCAAUGUGCAUGUGUAAUAAUAAUAACCUAUAUCCAAAUGAUUGUUUGAUAUUUAUAAUUUGUCAAAAAUAUGUUAUAUCUGAUAUUACAAUUGCUAGCCCGUGCAGGUGCACGGAUUGACGACUAGUGAUAUGUAGAUAGAAUUAAUUAUGAUUACCACUCAAUAAUUUUUCUUUAUGGAUAUCCAAAUUUAUGUUUAGAAUCAACAUUUCUACUUCAAUUUUUUCCGGGGAUUUUUUUACUUAGUAAACAUAUGGAUAUUUAGAAAUUUUUUGUGCUAAUUGUGUGCUCUCCUUAGCCUAUGUUACAAUGCAUGGUUUUCUCGGUUAUUUUAGAAAAUGCAUGUACUUCUCUAUCGCCAACUUCUCACAGAUGGAGUUAAGUUUCGUAAAAGUUUAGAAUGGCAGCCAACAUGAAAAAAGAUAAAAGUAUCAUCAUUUGCACAUUUUUUUUCACCUUCUUCACUAUCUAUAUUUAUGGAUAUUCACUUUGCGAUUUAUAUUUUCCCAAUUCGCUACAAAAGCGCAGAACAAACAUUUUAGAAAAUAAAUGCAAAAUGUGUAAAAUAAAAUGUGUAGGUACAUAAUUAAAAAUCUUGGACGACGAUAACUGCCACACGUGUGGCAUCUAGGGGCUAUGUGCCGCACGCCCCGUGUGGCAUCGACACAGGCCCGCCCGCACGAGCACGUCCGCGUGCACCCCACCACAGCCCGCACGUUCGGUGUGCGGCGCAAUCGCCCGCACUAGCACGUCCGGGCGAGCGACCUCACGGCCCGCACGACCCGUCUCGGCCCUCGCCCCUCCCCGCCUGCGAGCCACACGCCCCGCGUGGCAGUAACCACGCGUCCCGCCGCGAUUGCCAUGGUCUGAACCCUCUUCCAUGUUCGUUUAACUGUAGUUGCCAUGUUGCUGAACUGCAGUUGCCAUGUCUGACAACUACAGUUGCCAUGGUUGCUCAACUGCAGUUGCCAUCUCAGGUCAAGUGUCGGAUGCCAUUUUUGGGCAACUGUAGCUGUUGCCAUGUAUGGUCUGGUCUACUACAGUUGCCAUGAUUUGAAAACUUUAGGAUUUACAACCUACUAACACUAGACAGUUGCCAUGUAGCACUACAAAAGCAUGGCAAAAAACAUGUUCAGGUAAAAGAGAGAGUUGCCAUCUGCUUACAAGCACACUAGGGCAGUUGCCAUGUACCCUGCAAAAACACAUGGCAACUGAUAGCUUUUGGUGUGUGGGAGAGGAGACGGGCAUGUGGGCGACGAUGGUAUCUUUAGGAGUUGCCACCUACUAACACUAGACAGUUGCCAUGUAGCGCUACAAAACAGACGUGUCAACAAUAACAUGUUCGGGGUAAAGAGAGUUGCCAUCUGCUUAUAAUCACAAAUAGGGCAGUUGCCACACACUAGCACUGGACAGUUGCCAUUUAGCGCUACAAAAACAGACGUGGCAACAAUAACAUGUUCGGGGUAAAGAGAGUUGCCAUCUGCUUACAAUCACAAAUAGGGCAGUUGCCAUGUACCCUGCAGAAAACAUGACAAAUGACAACUUGGUGUGGGAGAGUGGGAAAAAGGGCAGUCAUGGGAGAUGGGGAACAGAAGUCGUGCGCGGCGUGCGGGCGCGACAGCAGUUCCACCGCACGCCCCGACUCGCAAUCGGUCUCGUCCGAGGGAGAAACAGCGUGCGGGCGAACUACCUACACACCACACACCGGGCUUGUCCUACUUGGCACACCAAAUCCAACUUUUGGUGUCAGGAUUCAUGCAAAAAACAACCAACGACAAUCCAGGCGUGUGGGCGAGUUGAAAACGUUCCACGCGUGUAGGCGUUAGUGUUUCCGAAAAUCUUAUAUCUCCGUCUCAAACAAACAAAAGCCUCCUUCCAUAAGAAACAGCUCAUACGUGAAACUCUUCUCGCCUAUUAAAAAAAAGGAAAAGCAUCCCUCCCCGAAAAAAGAGAAAACGUCUUCACUAGCUCCUGUACUUUUUUAGGCAACCACGUCUCCUCUAUAUGGCCAGAUCUUUCAAGGCUUCUUACUAAUCAGACCACUACGUUGUAAAUUUAUAUCCAAUAAAGAAAACCUGCCGAAUCAUAGAUGGUCUCGUCCAAAAAAAUGUCAUGUGAUACGUCCAACGUUGUCAAAAAAACAUCCUCCAUUCCUUAAAGAGAAAAGAUAGCGUCCUUAGAAAAGCACUACCAAUAAAAGGAAAAGAAAGACGGAAUCCAAUUGAUGACCGAUGAAACUCCAUAAAUAAAAUCUUCUGUCGAUCGAUUUUAAAAGAAGAAACAUCUGGCUCAGUUCCUCUACAUGGCCGCAUACUCCACUUCCUCUUCAAUCCUGCUCUCCUACAUGUGGCUGGUGGUGGCGAUUUCUCUAACCGAAGGAUAUACCCAACUCGCCAUCACCAUCAAGUGCGCUCUCCCACCAGCAGGGCCAACAACAAACUGCAAAGGAACCUGACGACAGGUGCUGCGAGGUAUGAUGCAAGAUCGACUGCGACCCCAAGCGGCAAUCGAUCUUCCUCAUUGUUAUUGUCACCGCGUCUCCUUCCAUCCACCCCGGGCAUCAAAGUUCACCCUAUUUUAUGAUAAUAAAAAAGUCCAACUACCAAGUACAAGCUCUAAUAAGUUCUUCUUGGAUUCAUGCUCCGACAAGACUAUGAUCCAACUAUGAUAAUAAUGGAUUAAGGCGCAGAUUGCUAACACUUAUCUGCAUAUAUAGUACGUAUGCAUGUCUUUAUUUUGAUCUUAGAAAAAAGAGAAAAUUAGCUAUUAAAGCAUCUUUAAAUACAUACAAAUUACCGAAGUAACAAGAAAAUAUGGAUGUACCAUGCGCCACGAAGAUCUAAUAGACACACAAUUAUCUAUGUGGUAUAGGUAUGUAUACAGUAUGGAUAGAAAAUAUAAAAAAAUGACAUCCGUAUUAAAAAUAUAAGAAAUUCUUUAAGAAUUUGUUUGUUGAGACUAGAACUUAAAACCGGAAUAAUCUAUGGUGCUUAUAGUAAUGAGAAUAUACUACAAACUUUUGUUUGCCAUCACACAAUGACAAUAUUAAUGAGGUUGUCACACAAUUGGAGGCAAACAAUCAAAUAACAAAAUAGUCCGAAGCAAUGUAACACUGUUGAACCUUAUGUCUAACAAAGAUAAACAUGCAUGUGUGACAACAAUAACCCAUAUCAACAUAUUAUUAUUGGCUGACAUUUCUAAUUUGUAACAACUUUGUUGUAUGCAAUAUUAAAAGUGCUAGCCCGUGCAUGUGCACGGGUUGAUGACUAGUAUAAUAUAACUCUGAGACAUGCCUAUAUAACCUCUUAUUUGCAUACGUUCUUUUAAAACAUAGCAUAGACAAACCACAUUACAUUAUAAUAAUGAAUUUGUUUUUUCUCGGUGACAGGGUAACUGUUAUUUCUAUGUCGACCAGUUGUACCUUGAAAGAAAGUGUUAUAAAACAAUUAUGUUACUCCCUCCUCCAUCACUGUUUUCAUUGACCAGAGCCCCCACUCCACACAUAUCGACAAGCUCGGAGUCCCGCUCAUCGAUAUGAUCGUAUGCCAUAUCCACACAACUGGCGAGCUCAUUGGAGCGUAGCCCGUCCUCGUCGCCUUGGUAAUCCCUGAUCGUGGCAUCACAUAUGUUGAGGAUGCUCACCAGUCAUAAUCCGCCUCACAAAAACUAAGGACACGCAUUGGCACCGUGCCCUUCUUGCUUCAUGUGUCUGUUGUCUUGGCGCACCCAUUUCGUCCACCGCCAUCCGUUUGUGUCGGCGCGGACAGAAAAGUCGGCCCAACGCGCCGACACAAAUGGACGCGCGUCCGAUUUCGUCCGCCUGCCUAUCCAUUUCCGGCCCAUUUUUUAGCCGGAUUUGCGUCGGCGGAGACAAAAGACGGACGCACGCGCUCACCCUCUCUCCUUUCCGGGCGCGCUGGUCGGUGGCACAUUGGCCUCUCCACAUCAAACAACACACCCUCGCCCGCCUGCUUCAUCGCUGACGCCGCCGGUCAUUUUUUCCGAUAGAAAAAUGAUACAUAGAUAGUUUUAGCAUACACAGAUAAAAAAAAGAUCAACUACUCGUCGCUUUCCGACUUCGACUCGGUAAUGUCCUCCUAUGACGUCUAAAUGUAGGCGUCAGCAUGCUGAUCAUCUUCAAAGUCUCACCCCGGCGUUUCUCGUAGCUUCAGUUUCAAUUGAGCGGCCUGCUUGCGCGCACGCUUGUCCUCCCGAUAGGCGGCUCGCUCCGUCCUCCUCACCUCCUUCUCCGUCCUCCUUUGCGUGUAGAACUGGCGCUCAUUGACGAUGUCCUGCAGAAAGCGUUCGCGCCACACCACCAUGGCUUCCAUGUCCAUCUCGGUGAUGGCGAGGCGACGCUGCCGCCUCCGGUGGACACGACGAUCCUCGUCGGUGAAAUGCCGCGGGAGAGGCGCGAGAUCCUGCGCCGCUGGCUCGACACGUCAGGAAAAUUCAUAUCCCAACGAGGCCUCAGGAGGCACGACGCCGCCGCGUCGUGCGCGCGGGCCGACUCCUCUGCGGUGUUGAAGGUGCCGAGGAUGAGGCGUUUCUCGCCAAACCUGAUCUCUGAGGAGAAGGCACCAGAGCGGCGCUCGCGGACUCCGCGAAAAUUUGAAGCGCCCAGGCGGCGCAUCGACAUGGUGGCGCAGAGGCGGCGAGGCUAGUGAUAGGGGGCGACACAAGUGGGCGGCGGACAGAGUGUGGAGGGAGCGCCUUCUUAUAACGAGCGCCGGCCGCGGCGCGCGCGCGAACCUUUCCCGCGCGCUGGAGCACCGAAACCAGCACGCGCUAGGCCACUUUUCCCCCACGCGUGUGAACCUUUCCCGCGCGCUGGAGCGCCAAAACCAGGGAGACGGCAUGGCAGCUGGCAUGAUCGAAAGCGCGUGCGAUCAUGAAGUGGGUCGGACCGUUGGACGCACUGCCGACCCAAAUCUAAAAGAGGGCGGACGGCGGGCGGGCGGCAGACCCAAACGUACAAAAAGCGGACAACAACGCCGUCCAUCUGGGUCGGCCCGUUGAAGUUGCUCUUAGGGGUGAACCUCUGUCUCCCGUAGGGCCCCAUGUGUUUGACAACACAUGGGGUGGCCUGUUCAGCACGCCAGUGUGAAAAAUCAUGACACAGGCAUGAGGUAAUAGUUAGUGGUCUACUCCCUACGCCUGGGAGUUAUCACAUCAUAGGAGUAGGUAGCUCCAGUAGAUAAGUUUCCCUAUAUUGGAUAAAGAUCAAUGGAACGCCUCGUAGGUGUGAGUAGCGAGUUGCCAAAUAUAUAUGUUAUACGGAAUUAAAUUAUAGGAAUCCUGCUAGCUGAGCAGCUGUGAUUUUCCUUUUGAAAAGUAAGGAAAUGGAAUAGGGAGAAGAUUUUGCAUUUUAGAAUAAAGAAUCUGCUCAAGAUGCUCUAUAAUAUUUCCUGACUUGGGCACAUCAUUGUUUUCUUUUAUUUGAGACGCAGAUUGGAGCACAGCAUUUGCUGGUAAUUAAGCAAAUGCAUGAUGCAUGCCAACAUGACACUUGGGAAAAUAACAAGACUACACUUCCUACAGUAAUACAGAUUCACGCGUAAGGUCAAGUCUAAAAAGAUGUAUCGGGAUCAGCUUCCAUUUCAUAUACUCCAUGGUGGAAUAUGAUGUCACGCUUGUUAUCAAGGUUUUGGAUCGGGAGUGAACAGUGGACUAGACAAACCAGUGUGCCAGGGUGGUCCAAUAGUAGAAAUCUUUACAUAAAUUUAUUUAUUUUCAAAGAAAUAAUUUUUCUACUACACUAUAUACAUGCUGUGGGGAAAAUUCAGGGUGGUCCAUGUCCACCCCCUAGCUAAGCCACUACGAGCGGACCUUUUCUCUAAAGGGGCACCAAAAUUCGAGGUUACUAAGGUAACCACGAAAUACAAAAAAAUCAGACGAAAUUAGAAAUCAUUUUAAGUUGAUAUAGAUAGUUAUUUAUCUUUACCUAAUAAUAAAGUAUAAAGUGCGUCUACCCGUUCACCAUCAUCCAAAUUACCCUCGAAGUUGGCGAGAAUUACCCACUAAUGCCACCUGUAAGUGGCAAAAAUAAUUCGCUUUUUUCCAUGCUGGUUCAAUAUGAAGCUAUCUUCUUAUGUGACACAAGUACAUGCGCAUCCCACCGGCUAGAGGUUCGAUCCCAUGUUCUCCCCAUUCUAUCUCCCUUUUCUCUCUUGUUGUUAGAGGGUUGAUUGCGCCAGCCCAGCACGGCCUUCAACUCUCUUUCUUUCCUUUCUUACAGACAGUUUUUCUUUCUUUCGGCUUUAUUUCGAAAUACUUUAAAUAUUUCUAUGCAUUAAAGAAAUGUUAAACUUCUCUACAAAAAAUAUUUCCACUAUAUAUAAACAAAUGGGUAGUGUGUAUGGAAAGCAAAAUUAGGAAAAUAAUAACGUAAGUUUCUGUUUUUUUGAAAAAAAUUAAGCAUGCAUUUAAAUAAAUUUAAAUGUGUACAAAAAUUGUUUAUGAUGUAUACAAAAAUAUACAAUAUGUUUAGAACAAAGUAGACAUAAAAAAGUAUAUGUCUUCAAAAAUAUUAAUCAUGUAUUUGGACGAUGUUAACCAUGUACAUAAAAAUGAUCAUGAUGUACACAAGAAAUAUAGAAUGCGUAUAGGAAAAUUGGAAAUCAAAAAACUUAUGGUUAAAAAAAGUUGAAAACUAAAUUGGAAAAAUGUUAUACUUGUAUAUCUAAAUGUUUGUCAUGUAUACAAAAAAAAUACUGUGUUCAUGGAGAAUAUAGAGAUAAACAAAAUAUUUUACCAAAUGUUAAUUAAUUAUUUAAAAAUGUAAUAAUUUAUUUUUAAAUUUCUAAAUGUGAUAUAAAAUGUUUCUGGUAUAUAAAAAAAAUUUAUAGUGUAUAUGAGCAAACGUAGACAUAAAAAAUAUAAGUUCUCAAAAAUAUUAAUUAUAUAUUUAGAAAAUGUUAAACAUGUAUAUAAAAAUUAUUCUUGGCGUAUAAAAAAUGUAGAAAGAAAACGAACAAAAACUAUAAAAUUGAAAAAGAAACAAAAAAAGCAAAGAAAGCAAAAAAAUAGCAAAACCCGUAAAACCAAAAGAAUAUACCAAAAAAUAAGAAAGAAAAAACAAGAAUGAUAAAAACGUGCUAUCAUUAAUUACUAACAUGUACUUUGUUAUCUUCAUCACACUACAAAUAUUUGUUGGGCAUCAUCAAGGACGAACGACAACAAAUGCGUAAUGAGAUACCUCCAACUAGGUAGAUAUUUUUGUUGUCUAAUAAGUUAAAAACAUCUUGAGUACACUUCAAAAAUCAUCCCAUUUUUAUAUUUUUACACAACACCACUUAUCAUGUUAUUUGUCAUGUGACAUCGUGAAAGAUUUCAAGGGAUUUACUAAUGUCUUGAGAGUGUGUAUGAGGGGUGACUUUUUCUCCCCCGUUGAAAGAACACAAAGCCUGCCCUUCUUCGGAAAACACACACACACACACAUACACACACAAAGCAAGCCCUACCGUAUUGGCUGUUCACCCUUAGCUGCCGCUUGGUCAAACGUCGCGAGUUUGACGUUCUUACCUUUUGCAUCCUCUAAAAGAAGUAAAAAUGAAAGCGAUGAGACUCGAACCCGAGACUUGCUGCUGCGGAAAGCUUGGCUUUGCCACCUAGGCCAUGACCUGUCAUGAUGUUCAAUAAGAGAUGCCACGUAUUUAACUAUGAGGUGGGCGUUUGAAUUCAAAAGUUUCAAAANNNNNNNNNNNNNNNNNNNNNNNNNNNNNNNNNNNNNNNNNNNNNNNNNNNNNNNNNNNNNNNNNNNNNNNNNNNNNNNNNNNNNNNNNNNNNNNNNNNNNNNNNNNNNNNNNNNNNNNNNNNNNNNNNNNNNNNNNNNNNNNNNNNNNNNNNNNNNNAAGAACAUUAUUAUUAUUAUUUCAAAUGGAAGUAAUGUUGGUUUUACAUGAACAUUGUUUCUGGCAGAAAAUCUUAUAUUUACUAAUUGGAGGCACCUUUCAUGAUCUCUCAUUAAUCCACAUCAUCAAAAUUAAUUAAACUGUUGGAUUGUAAAAUUUAUGACCAGGAUUAAAAAAACAACUUGUGUAACGCAGAUGAUGCUGUCCUAUAAAAAGUGCACCUGACACGUACAACUUUUGUUAAACAAACAAAGAAAAGACUCACAUAAAAAAACGGAAGCCACAAGUAAAAAAGGGAAAGGCCCCACCAGUUCCCACAAAUUAAGUAGAAAAACAGCCUCAUGCAAGAAAAAGAGGAAAGUCCCUACCGUAUCCCACAAAUUAAGAAGCAAAAUUUUCCAUAAAAAAACCUAAUGAUAAGAUGCCAAAACAAAAUCCCAACGUUAAAGGAAAAAAAUCGACUAUCGGGCAGAUUGCCCGUGAAAUAAAAGAAAGCAAACUCGCGUAACAAAACUUAAACCUCCACCCAUCUGAACAAAUAAAAACACUAUGUACCAAACAGAUCAAGCCAAAAUGUACAAAAAAAAUAGAAGUCACGUAAAGAAAAAGGGAAAGUCCUUAGCAUCCGCGUUACUUCUCAUAAAAAAAUAGGGUUCUCACCACGUACAUAUAAUUGAAGAUUAAGCACACGCCUUCCAAAAAAAAUAGUCCUUAGCAUACACGUUACUUCCCAGAAGAAAAACAAGCUACAAAAACAGUUUUCACCACAUACAUGAAAUAAAAUCUUACAAAGAAACAUACGGCUUGAUCUUUGGUGUGGGACAUGACAAAAAAAGACACAACCUCAAAAAAUGACUUCGCAUUACGUAUGUGAAAUAAAACCUUGCAGAAAAAAAUACAUACAUGAAAUAAAAGAUUAAACAUACAUGACCAAAUAAAAACAAGGAAAGCCUCACGUCAAUCGAAAAAGCAAAGGAAAAACUCCACCCGCUGCACAAAUUAAGAAGGAAUGUCUCUGUUAAAAACUCCAAGAUAAAAUGUAAAAAAAGUCCAAUGAUAAAAAUGGAAAAAUUCCGCGAUCCAGCUGAUUGACCGUGAAAUAAAAACUAGACCCAAUGGCUCCAUCAAUAAAAUAUUCUCCCGACAAAAAUCUGUGUGGACUCAUCUGUACGGCCGAUGCCUCCUCCUCUGCUUCAAUCCUGCUGUCCUACCAAUGGCCGCCGAUCACGAUUAUUUGUCACUGAAUGUGCUUUCCCACCUGCAUGGCCAUCGGUGAACCACAAAGUGUCACAAGGGCGGCCUAAUUUAUUUUUCUAUAUGCUACAACAAAAAUACCUCUCAUGUUUAGUUGGACAGUAUAUUUUUUAAAGGGAUAUUGAAGCUGAAGUUUGUCAACCACGGAUGUGGAGCUGGUCGAGACUGGUGGCUAGAUGACAAAGGCUCCGCUCGGCAAGGAAAGAUUUGCAUUGAGCUAAGACUCAUGACUAAUUGAUAUAAUCUAAGAGAUGAUGAACCAAGAAAAUUAUAUUAGAAAUAAGUUGGAUGUUAUUUGCAUUAUUCUAUUUUGAGGAGUAAAAUUAUUUUUUUGGGAAUUAGACAAUCAAACUAUUGUUAUGAUUUCUUGAACUGGCCACAUAGGCCACAUAAAUUAUGAAAUUACUUUUCAUUGACGGAAUUUCGUUUGUGAAGAUAGCAUAGGGGCAACCGAUCAAUGUCCCCGGUAAUGAGUACUCAAUCACAUCAUGUUUGGUAGUACUACUGUAUGGGUGUUCUACAUAAAAGCAAAUGUAAGUAGACAACAUUAUAAUUAUUAAUUUUGUCCAUUAUAUUGCAAAGUAAAGGAUAUCCGUGUGGUCAAAAAAAAUUAGAUCAAUAUUGCACCACUAUAUGUCUUUUUGUCAAAUUUAAAUCCUGUUCAAGUUUAUACUGCUUUUCUUACUACUCCUAAUAAAUGAUCAGAACAAGGAAGCUUGCAGUUCUGUAGGGGAAGACCGAUCCUUGACGAGCAUUUCUAGCGUGACACAGAUAAAUAACAUUGGAUGGAGCGGCUCGACGACCUCCUCAUGUACGCUGCCGGACGCUGGCUGCAUCCGAUGACGCCGGGAGCAAGGUAGUGGUGUCGUGUAAGUUCAUUUUAGAUGCUAAGGACUAUUAUGCACAACUUAGUACUAUUCUCUUGAAAGAUAAACUACUUUGUCUGACAUGCAUACUUGCGAUUAUGUAGACUUAACAUGUUUUUACACAGGUGCAGAUUACGAACGCUAAUUAUUUGCACAUAUAGUACGGUUGCACAUCUCUUUUUUUUGUCCUGAUAAGUUAUAAAAAAUAUAACUAUUAAAGUAUCUUUAAUACACAUAAAUUUUUUUAGUAAAAAAUAAUGUGGAUGUUUCCUGCACGACAAAGAUCUCAUAUAAACAAAUGAUUAUGUAUGUGAUAUACAUAUGUGUAGCAAGGAUAGAAAGUACAAUAAACUUUCAAGCACAUUAAUCUGAAAAGAAAUCCUCUUAUGAUUUUCUUUGCACAAAUAUGAUAGUGAAAUACGAUUAAUCUAUCACACAACUCCAAUUCAAUCGUGAAAGAUUUUCUUUAAGAAUUUAUUGGUUAAUACAAGAAUAUAAAAUACAAAUAACCUAUGGUGCUUAGCGUAAUCAAGAAUUGCAGAAAUCAAACUUUUAUAUAUUAUUUGCUACAGUGUUACAUACUACUUCUCCAAAUAAUUCUUUUUAGUCUGCAUAUAAGAUUUGCCUGAAGUCAAACUUCAUAAAGUUUGAGCAUAUUUAUAUUGAAAAAUAUUAACAUGUACAAUACUAAAGUCACAGAGUAUAAAAAUUAAGAUUCAUGCCGCAUUUAAUGAUAUUGAUUACACAUUGAGAAUAUUGAUAUUUUUUCUGUAAGUUGGUCAAACUUUACGUUGUUUUACUUCAAAUAAAUCUUCUAUACAGAGUAAAAUAUCUGGCGGGAGUAUUUAAUAUUAGAAGUGCUAGCCCGUGCUGAUGCACGGGUUGAUGACUAGUAGAUUAUUAACUAUCAAAGUCAUAUGGCCCUAGCAAGACAUUGUUCAGGCCGCCCAGCUUGAUCAACUCCUCGUUAUCGUUGAUAACUGUCUGGCUUUUCAUGGGAAGCUCAUGCCGGCAGUUGCUGACAUGGUCAGUCGCCUUCUCCACACACUCGGGCAGUUCAAAGAACCACGGGCCGUCGGCGUCGCCCAUGGGGACACGGAAGUCCCUGAGCAUGGCGUCGCAGAGGCCGAGGGUACCGAUAGCAGCAUCGUAAUCCACCUGGCAAUACCUGAGGCCGAGCGCCUCCUCCGUACCUUUCUUGGCUUUCUGGAGUGCUUCCUUCACCUUGCCGCCGGCAGCCGCCAUGUGGAUCUUGAGGAUGUCAACGGCGACGAGCGACAGGUCGCGGAGGUCCUUGGACUCAGAGCUCCUUUUGUCGGACCGGAGAGUCUGCACGCAGAAUUCCUGGGUGACGUUCAGGUGCUUGUUGCGGCAGCUGCUCGAAGCGUUCUUGCAGGUUUCUACCACGAGGUCUACCACCUUGACCUUGUCGUUGCGCCGCCGGCAUGUGCGCCGAUGCACACAAAAAGGAGCAUGAUUGCAACCAAGAAGGCAGCGGUCGCCCGUGUGGUUGCCAUUGCUGCAAGGAUAGCUGCAAUUGUAUUGUAGGCUUUGUAGCUGAGAGAGAGGUGAAGAUGAAUUGAUAGUCAGAUUUUGUAGUGCAAAGAUGGAGGUGGUGUACGGUUCUUGUGACAUCUAUAUAGUGCAGCAGCAGGUUCAUAAAUCCAAUGCAGCUUAGUCACGGAUAUCCAAAUAAUUAGUAUUUCAGACACUAUAUGCGCAGAUAUGUGUUGGAAAAAUGAGCAAAUUACUACGAGAUUUAAUCCGAAUAAAUAGGAAAUAGAUCAUGACAGCAAUAGCAGAUAUUAAACUAAUCAUGCGAACUAGCAUACUAGAUGAACAGAUCACAUCUAGGACACAUACUAGAAACAUGAGUUCUACGGUGCAGCACCGCCGGCGUUGACGUUGUCGCCCAUGUCGUCGAGGAUGAGGUUGCCGAGGUCGGGGAAGAAGUCGUCGUUCGCGAAGUCGUCGCUGCCAGCAGUCGCGCGAGUGCGCUCCCCAAAAACCUGAUCGCCCCUCUCCCAUACAGGAUCACGAGAGGCAGGGUUCUAGAGGCCUGCUGUCCCUUCUCCCGGUGCACGCCGAAAGGAGGGAUGGAGAAGACUUGCUUGGCGGCGCAAUGAUCUGGAACGGUGGUCAGAAACCAUACGAAGCGGCGGCGGCUAGGAUAGACGUCUGCCUGACUAUAUAGUGCGGGCCGGGUAGGUCCUGGGAGUAAACCCCACGUCCGAGUCAUCACGAUCCAAAAGAAUCGGAAAUGGUUCAGUAAUUAAUGAGUCCAUUAAUUAUUAAUUAAUGACUCAUUAAUUUUUCCCGAGCAGCAAAAAUAUAGACAGCGUGCAUAGCUCUGUCCUCGGCUUGGCUCAAUCCCGCGGCGCGGCGGGGCGGGGCGAGGCGAGCGAGGAGGAGGAGCGCGCGUGUAGGUCUCCUCUUCUCAUGCUCAUACAAGUGGUAGAAAAGCUCACCUUAUAAAGAGGUGCAACUCUCUCUCAACUUUCGGGGUGGGACUAAACUUUAGUCUCACCCACUCCACUCACAUGUGUGCAUGAAUGGGCCAAGAGAAUUUCAGAAUUUUAGUUGGGCUUUGGGCCAAGGCCUACUAGCAAAAUUCCAACAAUCCCCCACAAAGUCUCAUUGGCACAUCUCAUCAUUUAGUUCCAAAACAUUGUUUAUAUACCGGUGCUUAGUGGAGACUGUGAAGUUGAACUUCCACUUAAAGAUUUAUGCUACACUAGAUCACAACUUGAAUAGUGGACUAUGCCUUGAACUACAAGUUUUCUGCGAAACUAGUUUCACACAAAUUCUUGACCGAUACUGGGCUGCCGCAAGGCUUCCCCGCGGGUGGAGCGUAUACGCCAUACUCCAGGGCAUUUUCAUGAAUUUAUUAGAGAACACCCAAUUCUCACAGACUGCGACGUUAACAGUCAAAUUCAUAUAGGUGUGUUCCUCAGAAGAUGUUCUGCAGGACAACAUCUCUGCUUACCCGAAUAAGCCACUUGGAACACAUUAAGAUAAGUAUCAACCUGCCAUGCAGAUCAGGAGAGUAUUGCAUCUUCACGGAGUGGGAUAGUUAAUAUAGGGAUACUCUCCUCCCAGCUGACCAACAGCUUGUCUCCCACUUCUACUUCACGGGAUCUCCGAUCACAUAGAGUGGGUUACCACUAUGGACAACUCAUGCGGUGGGUCUCAAACCCAUCUCCAUCGAUGCAUUAUCUAUCACAUUAUGUGAUAGACCCUUUGUGAAGGGAUCUGCCAUGUUUUUCGAUGUUUGGAUAUAAUCCAACGUAAUAACUCCGGAGUUCCUCAAUUUUCUGACAGAUUUUAGUCUCCUCUUCACAUGUCUUGAGGACUUCAUAUUGUCCUUCGAACUGUUUAUCUUGACAAUCACAGUUUGAUUAUCACAGUUCAUCAGGAUAGGGGGUAUUGGUUUUUCAACCAUAGGUAAGUCCAUCAAGAGUUCACGAAGCCACUCUGCUUCAACAGUGGCAGUGUCUAAUGCUGUGAGUUCUGCUUCCAUAGUUGACCUCAUUAAGAUGGUCUGCUUGCAAGACUUCCAGGAAAUAGCGCCACCACCAAGUGUAAAAACAUAACCACUCGUGGGCUUUAUCUCAUCAGAAUCAGAUAUCCAGUUUAAGUCACUAUAACCCUGCAGUACCCUUGGAUACCCGGUGUAGUGAAUCCCAUAGCUCGCGUAGCCUUUCAAAUAGCGAAUAACUCUCUCAAGAGCAUGCCAAUGAUCAUCUCCCGGUUUUGACACAAACCGACUCAGCUUGCUCACAGCAAAAGAGAUGUCAGGCCUCGUGGCACUCGCCAAAUACAUAAGCGAGCCAAUAAUCUAAGAAUACCUCAGUUGAUCUCUAGCAAUCCGUUGAUUCUUUCGAAGCAACACACUAGCAUCAUAUGGAGUUGGAGAAGGUGUGCAGUCGCUAUACCCAAAACGACUCAAGACCUUUUCCACAUAGUGAGACUGAAGCAGUGUGAUCCCACCAUUCUCAUCUCUCAACAGCUUGAUGUUUAAGAUAACAUCAGCUACUCCUAGAUCCUUCAUCUCAAAACAGCGAGAUAAGAAAUCCUUAACCUCCUUGAUUAAAUCAAGUUUGGUUCCAAAGAUCAAUAUGUCGUCGACAUAUAGACAAAGAAUAACUCCUUCACCCCCACCAUAGCAAUAGUACACGCACUUGUCACCAUCAUUUACUACAAAGCCGGCAGCAGUUAAUGUCCUUUCGAACUUCUCAUGCCACUCCUUAGGAGCUUGUUUAAGGCCAUAUAAAGACUUUAAUAACUUGCACACCUUUCCUUCCUGACCAGGUACUACAAAACCAUCUGGCUGAUCCAUGUAAAUUUCCUCCUUCAACUCUCCAUUGAGGAAAGCCGUCUUGACGUCCAUUUGAUGAACGAGAAGACCAUGUGAGGCAGCCAGUGAUAGUAGCACCUGAAUUGUGGUCAGUCUAGCCACAGGUGAGUAAGUAUCAAAGAAGUAUUCACCUUCUUUCUGGGUAUAACCCUUAGCCACAAGCCGUGCCUUGUUCUUUUCAAUCGUACCAUCAGGUCUAAGAUUCUUCUUGAACACCCACUUACAUCCUAAAGGUUUGCACCCAUAAGGACGACCAGUGAUCUCCCAGGUUCCGUCAGCUAAGAUGGAAUCCAUCUCGCUACGUACAGCUUCCUUCCAGUAGUCAGCAUCAGGAGAUGCUUAGGCUUCUCUAAUAGUCCUGGGUGUGUCAUCCACGAGGUACACAAUGAAAUCAUCACCAAAGGACUUUGUAGUCCUCUGUCUCUUACUCCUCACAGGAGUUCCAUUGUCACCCUCAACAGGAUUCUCAACGUGUUCCAUCGCAAUGGUGGGUUCAGGAAUUACAGUGAAUUCCUCACUAGAUGGAGUAGGUAUCUCCUGAUUUGAUGAACUCGACAUGUCCUUCAUAGGAAAUAUGUCCUCAAAGAAAGUUGCAUCAUUCGACUCCAUAAUCGUACCAACAUGCAUGUUGGAUACCUCAAAUUUUAUUAUCAAAAAUCUAUAGCCGAUGCUAUGAAAAGCAUAGCCCAGAAGAACACAAUCCACGGUUUUUGGUCCAAGCUUGCGCUUCUUGGGAAUUGGUAUAUUGACUUUCUCCAAACAACCCCAAGUACGUAGGUAAGAGAGUUUCAACCUUUUCCUUUCCCAUUCCUCAAAUGGAGUCAUGGUCUUAUGCUUUGUGGGAACUCGGUUUACGAUAUGACAUGCAGUCAUUAGCGCCUCCCCCCACCAUUCCUUGGAUAGACCCGAAGUGUCUAACAUGGUGUUAACCAUAUCAGUUAGAGUUCGGUUCUUUCUUUUGGCUACCCCAUUUGACUGGGGUGAGUAGGGAGGCGUCCUCUCAUGGAUUAUACCAUGUUCCGCACAAAACAGAUCAAAUUCAUUGGAAAAAUACUCUCCACCACGAUCAGACCUAAGCCGUUUAAUUUUUCGAUCAAGUUGGUUCUCUGCCUCAGCUUUAUAGUUUUUGAAGAAAGUAAAAGCCUCAUAUUUUGAUUUCAGAAGAUACACAUAACAAUAUCUAGUGGAGUCAUCAAUCAACAUCAUGAAGUAUCUUUUUCCACCUUUUGUCAACACGACAUUCAUCUCACAAAGAUCAGAAUGUAUAAGCUCUAGUGGUGCCAAGUCUCUUGCCUCUGUAGUCUUAUGGGACUUGCGAGGUUGCUUAGCUUGCACACAUACUUGGCACUUAGAGCCUUUGACAGUAGAGAUUUUCAGAAUUAAAUUCAUAUUGGCUAGCCAUGUCAUGCAACCAAAGUUAAUGUGACAAAGUCGUGAAUGCCAAAUAUCUGACUCAUUGUUGUGGCAAACAUUAUUAAUAACUUUAGUGCAAAUAUCUGACAAAGACAGGCGGAACAAGCCUCCGCUCUCAUAGCCUUUUCCAACAAAUUGUCCAUACUUAGAAAUUACAACAUUAUUGGAUUCGAAAACCAACUUAAAACCAUCUCAACAUCAAUGGGAACCGCUAACGAGAUUUUUAUUGAUGGACGGCACAUGAUGAACGUUCUUCAGACGCACGGUCUUCCCCGAAGUAAACUUCAGAUCGACCGUACCAACACCUCGAACGAUGGCAUGUGACCCGUUCCCCAUCAGCAUGGGAGAAGUCCCAGUGGCCUGGUAAGAAGAAAACUUGGAGGCGUCAGCACAAACAUGUACAUUGGCACCGGUGUCAAUUAACCAAUCAGGGGAUUGAAAUACUGAAAGGAUGGUAGGAAAAAUACCGUAUCCUGAUUCCUUCAUAUCAGUAUCACCGAUAACAACAUUAGCGGACUUGCCGCUCUUGUCAUGUUCGCGCUCCUCAAAACGGUUAGGACACUUCGGAGCCCAGUGAUUAGGAUCACCGCAAACAUGGCAAAGUCCCUUCCCCUUCUUAUGAGAAUUCUUCUUGAAGUUGGUAGAAUGUGAUGGCUUGUUCUUUGUAUCAAACUUACCUUUGCCCUGAGUUUUGUUCUUGUUGUUUUUGAACUUUUUGGGAUGGAAGUUCUUCUUCUGUACCAUUUGGGCACUAGAACCUCCCUCAGCAACUCGAGCACGUGUGUCCUUUGCUCUCGCCUUCUCUUCAACAUCAAGAGUACCAAUGAGAUCCGCAACGGAAAACUCCUGUCUCUUGUGUUUCAGGGAAGUAGAAAAAUUAUUCCACGAAGGUGGAAGCUUGGCAAUGAUGCCUCCGGCAACACACACUUGAAGUAAUCAAGUUCUUUUGCGAGUGACUGUAUCUCAUUAGCCUGCUGUACAACAAGGCGCUCAUCAGUCAUCUUGUAGUCAUAGAAUUGCUCCAUGACGUACAACUCGCCGCCGGCGUCCGAGGCACCAAACUUGGCCUCGAGCGCAGCCCACAUGUCCUUGCCAUUGUAAAAUGAGAUAUACGAAUCGAUCUUCUCAAAAGCUUCCAGCUGUGCUGGAUUAAGAUCGCCCUCAGGCUUGCCCUUGGUGGCGUCAUAGCAGCCCAUGGUCUGAAACAAGUAGACUGCUAUCGUGCGCCACCUCUUAUAUUGCGCCCCUUUAAUGGCAGGCAGCUUCAAAUGCGCAGCAAAAUACGAGAUUUAAUCCGAAUAAAUAGGAAAUAGAUCAUGACAUCAAUAGCAGAGAUUAAACUAACCCCGGGUAGGUCAUGGGACAACGUGCAUAGCUCUGUCCUCGGCUCAAUCCUGCAACCCGCGGCGCGGCACUCGUGUAGGUCUCCUCUUCUCAUGGUCAUACAAGUGGUAGAAUAGCUCACCUUAUAAAGAGGUGCAACUCUCUCUCAACUUCCGGGGUGGGACUAAACUUUAGUCUCACUCACUCCACUCACAUGUGUGCAUGAAUGGGCCAAGAGAAUUUCAGAAUUUUAGUUGGGCUUUGGGCCAAAGGCCUACUAGCAAAAUUCCAACAAUAUGUAGAUCCACAUUUUGGGUGUGCUAGUAUUAAUACGUGUGGCAUGAGUGUGUUCUUGUUUUAUGUAUUUCUAGAGUGAAUCUCACGUUAUUUCCCCAUAUCAUAAAAUGGAUUUGGGACAUUAAAGGAAGAUUAUGCGCAUUUUGCACUUGAUAAUCUAUCUAUCUUCUACGUUUAUAUAUCUAUCUAUAUCUAUCUCUAUAUUCAUCCCUAUAUCUAUACCUAUCUAUAUGUAUACUAUAUAUGUAUAUUUAUAUCUACACCUAUCUAUCUAUCUAUCUAUCUAUCUUUAUAUCUAUAUCUCUAUCUAUCUAUACCUAUACUUCUACUCCCUCCGUCCCAAAAUAAGUAUCUCAAGCUUAGUACAAGUUCGUACUAAAGUUAAUACAAAGUUGAGACACUUAUUUUGAGACGGAGAAAGUACUAAUUAGGCACUCCCUAGAAAUUACCAUGUUAAUCGGUAAAAUUCAAGAUAAUUGGAAACCCAUGCCCCUUCGUAAAUACAUGUAAUUGCUUACACCAUUUAGGAUAUGCUUGCAUGAUGGAUAUAUACGAUACACAUGCAUCAUUAUUAACCCGGAACACCUUUAAGAUUACAUUAAAAAUGGCAUCCAGGAGACACUAUAUUAAAUAAUACUGCCCAUGAUUAAAUAGGAGGAAAUCCAAUUCUCCAUCGAGGUAUAUGUGCAAAGAGUUAAACAUUGAUCAUUUGGAUAUUCAUGGGGCAUAUUGCAUUUGGAAACCCCUACUCAGUGCACUAUAUAGUAUAUAUAAGCCAUAAUCAUAGCUACGUACUCCACCUCAACCCAUCCAUCUCUGCACUGCAGUUCCAUUUGAUCCAUUCAUCGUCUCCCUCAGCUACAAUAUAAUUUUCUAGCAAGCCUGGCAGCAAUGGAAAUGGUGCAAACCACCUCCUUAGCAUUCACUGGAAUUGUCAUCAUUCUCCUUUCCAUGGCCAUCACCAUUCAAGCUUCCGACACCAAGCCCAUGCCGUCAGGCAUCACGUUGGAAGCAUGCAAGAAUGUCUCGAGUGACUUCUUCAAGGUGCGCUCCACAUAUGACUUUUGUGUAUCAACGCUCCAGUCAGACAAACGAAGCAUCAACGCGAAGGACUGCCGCAUCCUAGCUCUUGUGGACGUCGACGCCAUGAAGCCCCAAGCCACGGCCGUGAUGGCCAAGGUUGAGAACUUGAUCCAUGGUGCCACCAAGGACAAGCUCGCGACUCGCGCCCUUGGGUUCUGCCAAGUGGACUACGGUGGCAUGGUGAGCACCCUCGAAAUCUGCCAUGAUAUCAUCCAGAACUUUGAGGUUCGUAAAGGCAAUGAAGGUCCGACGCCCUACGACCUGCCUGAUUGCAUUGCGAAAACAACCAAAGCCAUCAACGAUUGCUCUGACAAAACAAAGUUUACGUCGGUUACAAAAGGGCUAACAAAGGAAUAUGAGGAGUUAUCUAUGAUGAUCAGCCUCAGCAGCUCUUUGCCACAUCUCUACAUCACAUCACCCUGAUUUUUCUGGAAAAAUAUGAUUUUAUAGCGUCGGUUUUAGGGUCUGCGAGGCCACCAGGUGGGGACAACCCACCUAGGCGCGCUUGGAGGGGGCACGCCAUGGUGGGUUGUGCCCACCCAGGUGCCCCCCUUCCGGUGGUUCAUGGCUCCAGAAAUUCUCUUUAUUGAUAUGAAAAAUCCUUGCAAAGUUUCGUUCCAUUCUUAAAACUUUUAUUUCUGCACAAAAACAACACCAUGGUAGUUCUGCUGAAAACAGCAUCAGUCCGGGGUUAGUUUCAUUCAAGUCAUGCAAAUUAGAGUCCAAAACAAGAGGAAAAGCAUUGGGAAAAGUAGAUGUGUUGGAGACCUAACGGUGGCGGCGGGAAACAAAUGAGGAAAGGGUGGCGUGUUCAUAAAACGCCACCAAUCAAUGGAAACUUAGCAUAGAAGGAACAUUGAGCUAGCACAACGUGUGUGUGCACAUUGCUCACCCAAGGCUAUGAUCCAUAUACUUGUGUGCCCAACAGAGCACACUAUUCAUAGUAAAGAAUAUUGUUAUGUUUAUCCUAGUAGAGCAGUGGCAGCAAGCGACACAAGAAGAAGUAGAUGAUGAUCAGAUGAUGGUUUAUCCUAAUUAAUUAUGCAUGUAAUAGUUUACUUUGGCGUGUGGAAAUGUCAUGUGUACUAGGAAACUAUGUAAUUGGAUGUUUAAUUUGACUGUGGAAUCAUGUCCUUAUAUCAUGAUAAAUCUUUAUUAUUCAUGCUAGAAUUGUAUUAACUGAAAACAUAAUACAUGUGUGAAUACAUAGACAAACAAAGUGUCACUAGUAUGCCUCUACUUGACUAGCUGGUUGAUCAAAGAUGGUUAUGUUUCCUAGCCAUAGACAUGAGUUGUCAUUUGAUUAACGGGAUCACAUCAUUAGGAGAAUGAUGUGAUUGACAUGACCCAUUCCGUUAGCUUAGCACCGGAUCAUUUAGUAUGUUGCUAUUGCUUUCUUCAUGACUUAUAAUGUUCCUAUGACUAUGAGAUUAUGCAACUCCUCUUUACCGGAGUAACACUUUGUGUGCUACCAAACGUCACAACGUAACUGGGUGAUUAUAAAGGAGCUCUACAGGUGUCUCCAAAGGUACAUGUUGGGUUGACGUAUUUCGAGAUUAGGAUUUGUCACUCCGAUUGUCGGAGAGGUAUCUCUGGGCCCUCUCGGUAAUGCACAUCACUUAAGCCUUGCAAGCAUUGCAACUAAUGAGUUAGUUGCGGGAUGAUGUAUUAUGGGACGAGUAAAGAGACUUGCCGGUAACGAGAUUGAACUAGGUAUUGAGAUACUGACGAUCGAAUCUCGGGCAAGUAACAUGCCGAUGACAAAGGGAACAACGUAUGUUGUUAUGCGGUCUGACCGAUAAAGAUCUUCGUAGAAUAUGUAGGAGCCAAUAUGAGCAUCCAGGUUCCUCUAUUGGUUAUUGACCGGAGACGUGUCUCGGUCAUGUCUACAUAGUUGUCGAACCCGUAGGGUCCGCACGCUUAACGUUUCGAUGAUAGUUAUAUUAUGAGUUUAUAUGUUUUGAUGUACCGAAGGUUGUUCGGAGUCCCGGAUGUGAUCACGGACAUGAAGAGGAGUCUCGAAAUGGUCGAGACAUGAAGAUUGAUAUAUUGGAAGCCUAUGUUUGGAUAUCAGAAGUGUUCCGAGUGAAAUCGGGAUUUUACCGGAGUACCGGGAGGUUAGCGGAACCCCCAGUAACUUAAUGGGCCUUAGUGGUCCUAGGUGGAAGAGAGGAGAGGAGGCAAGGGCUGGCCGCGCGCCCCUCCCCCCUAGUCCGAAUAGGACAAGGAGAGGGGGGUGGCGCCCCCCCCCCUUCUUUCUCCUCCACUCCUUCCCCCUCCCAAGUCCUAAUCCAACUAGGAAAGGGGGGAGUCCUACUCCCGGUGGGAGUAGGACUCCUCCGGCGCGCCUCCUCCUAUGGCCGGCUGCACCCCCCCCCCUUGCUCCUUUAUAUACGGGGGCAGGGGGGCAUCCCAUAGAUACAACAAUUGAUCAUUUGAUCUUUUAGCCGUGUGUGGUGCCCCCCUCCACCAUAGUCCACCUCGAUAAUACUGUAGCGGUGCUUAGGCGAAGCCCUGCAUUGGUAGAACAUCAUCAUCUUCACCACGCCGUCGUGCUGACGAAACUCUCCCUCAACACUCGGCUGGAUCGGCGUUCGAGGGACGUCAUCGGGCUAAACGUGUGCUGAACUCGGAGGUGCCGUGCGUUUGGUACUUGAUCAGACAGAUCGUGAAGACGUACGACUACAUCAACCGCGUUGUGCUAAGGCUUGCGCUUUCGGUCUACGAGGGUACGUGGCCAACACUCUCCCCUCUCGUUGCUAUGCAUCACCAUGAUCUUGCGUGUGCAUAGGAAUUUUUUUGAAAUUACUACGUUCCCCAACAAUGGCAUCCGAGCCUGAUUUUAUGCGUAGAUGUCAUAUGCACGUGUAGAACACAAGUGAGUUGUGGGCGAUAUAAGCCAUACUGCUUACCAGCAUGUCAUACUUUGGUUCGGCGGUAUUGUUGGAUGAAGCGGCCCGGACCGACAUUACGCGUACGCUUACGCGAGACUGGUUCUACCGACGUGCUUUGCACAGAGGUGGCUGGCGGGUGUCAGUCUCUCCAACUUUAGUUGAACCGAGUGUGGCUACGCCCGGUCCUUGCGAAGGUUAAAACAGCACCAACUUGACAAACUAUCAUUGUGGUUUUUGAUGCGUAGGUAAGAAUGGUUCUUGCUAAGACCGUAGCAGCCAUGUAAAACUUGCAACAACAAAGUAGAGGAUGUCUAACUUGUUUUUGCAGGGCAUGUUGUGAUGUGAUAUGGUCAAGACAUGAUGCUAAAUUUUGUUGUAUGAGAUGAUCAUGUUUUUAACCGAGUUAUCGGCAACUGGCAGGAGCCAUAUGGUUGUCGCUUUAUUGUAUGCAAUGCAAUCGACCUGUAAUGCUUUACUUUAUCACUAAGCGGUAGCGAUAGUCGAAGAAGCAUAAGAUUGGCGAGACGACAACGAUGCUACGAUGGAGAUCAAGGUGUCGCGCCGGUGACGACGGUGAUCACGGAGGUGCUUCGGAGAUGGAGAUCACAAGCACAAGAUGAUGAUGGCCAUAUCAUAUCACUUAUAUUGAUUGCAUGUGAUGUUUAUCUUUUAUGCAUCUUAUCUUGCUUUGAUUGACGAUAGCAUUAUAAGAUGAUCCCUCACUAAAUUAUCAAAGUAUAAGUGUUCUCCCUGAGUAUGCACUGUUGCGAAAAUUCUUCGUGCUGAGACACCACGUGAUGAUCAGGUGUGAUAGGCUCUACGUUCAAAUACAAUGGGUGCAAAACAGUUGCACACGCGGAAUACUUAGGUUAAACUUGACGAGCCUAGCAUAUAACAGAUAUGGCCUCAGAACACGGAGACCGAAAGGUCGAGCGUGAAUCAUAUAGUAGAUAUGAUCAGCAUAGUGAUGUUCACCAUUGAAACUACUCCAUCUCACGUGAUGAUCGGACAUGGUUUAGUUGAUUUGGAUCACGUGAUCACUUAGAGGAUUAGAGGGAUGUCUAUCUAAGUGGGAGUUCUUAAGUAAUAUGAUUAAUUGAACUUAAAUUUAUCGUGAACUUAGUACCUGAUAGUAUCUUGCUUGUUUAUGUUGAUUGUAGAUAGAUGGCCCGUGCUGUUGUUCCGUUGAAUUUUAAUGUGUUCCUUGAGAAAGCAAAGUUGAAAGAUGAUGGUAGCAAUUACACGGACUGGGUCCGUAACUUGAGGAUUAUCCUCACUGCUGCACAGAAGAAUUACGUCCUGGAAGUACCGCUGGGUGCCAGGCCUGCUGCAGGAGCAACACCAGAUGCUAUGAACAUCUGGCAGAGCAAAGCUGAUGACUACUCGAUAGUUCAGUGUGCCAUGCUUUACGGCUUAGAACCGGGACUUCAACGGCGUUUUGAACGUCAUGGAGCAUAUGAGAUGUUCCAGGAGUUGAAGUUAAUAUUUCAAGCAAAUGCCCGGAUUGAGAGAUAUGAAGUCUCCAAUAAGUUCUAUAGCUGCAAGAUGGAGGAGAACAGUUCUGUCAGUGAGCAUAUACUCAAAAUGUCUGGGUAUAAUAAUCACUUGAUUCAAUUGGGAGUUAAUCUUCCAGAUGAUUGCGUCAUUGACAGAAUUCUCCAAUCACUGCCACCAAGCUACAAGAGCUUCGUGAUGAACUAUAAUAUGCAAGGGAUGAAUAAGACUAUUCCCGAGCUCUUCGCAAUGCUGAAAGCUGCGGAAGUAGAAAUCAAGAAGGAGCAUCAAGUGUGUAUGGUCAACAAGACCACCAGUUUCAAGAAAAAGGGCAAAGGGAAGAAGAAGGGGAACUUCAAGAAGAACAGCAAACAAGUUGCUGCUCAAGAGAGGAAACCCAAGUCUGGACCUAAGCCUGAAACUGAGUGUUUCUACUGCAAGCAAACUGGUCACUGGAAGCGGAACUGCCCCAAGUAUUUGGCGGAUAAGAAGGAUGGCAAGGUGAACAAAGGUAUAUGUGAUAUACAUGUUAUUGAUGUGUACCUUACUAAUGCUCGCAGUAGCACCUAGGUAUUUGAUACUGGUUCUAUUGCUAAUAUUUGCAACUCAAAACAGGGGUUACAGAUUAAGCAAAGAUUGGCUAAGGACAAGGUAACGAUGAGCGUGGGAAAUGGUUCCAAAGUUGAUGUGAUCGCAGUCGGAAUGCUACCUCUACAUCUACCUUCGGGAUUAGUAUUAGACCUAAAUAAUUGUUAUUUGGUGCCAGCGUUGAGCAUGAAUAUUAUAUCUGGAUCUUAUUUGAUGCAAGACGGUUAUUCAUUUAAAUCAGAGAAUAAUGGUUGUUCUAUUUAUAUGAGUAAUAUCUUUUAUGGUCAUGCACCCUUGAAGAGUGGUCUAUUCUUAUUGAAUCUUGAUAGUAGUGACACACAUAUUCAUAAUGUUGAAGCCAAAAGAUGCAGAGUUGAUAAUGAUAGUGCAACUUAUUUGUGGCACUACCGUUUAGGUCAUAUCGGUGUAAAGCGCAUGAAAAAACUCCAUACCGAUGGACUUUUGGAACCACUUGAUUAUGAAUCACUCUCUACUUGCGAACUGUGCCUCAUGGGCAAAAUGACUAAAACACCGUUCUCCGAUACUAUGGAGAGAGCAACAGAUUUGUUGGAAAUCAUACAUACAGAUGUAUGUGGUCCGAUGAAUGUUGAGGCUCGUGGCGGAUAUCGUUAUUUUCUCACCUUCACAGAUGACUUAAGAAGAUAUGGGUAUAUCUACUUAAUGAAACAUAAGUUUGAAACAUUUGAAAAGUUCAAAGAAUUUCAGAGUGAAGUUGAAAAUCAUCGUAACAAGAAAAUAAAGUUUCUACGAUCUGAUCAUGGAGGAGAAUAUUUGAGUUACGAGUUUGGUGUACAUUUAAAAAAUGCGGAAUAGUUUCGAAACUCACGCCACCCGGAACACCACAACAUAAUGGUGUGUCCAAACGUCGUAAUCGUACUUUACUAGAUAUGGUGCGAUCUAUGAUGUCUCUUACUGAUUUACCGCUAUCGUUUUGGGGUUAUGCUUUAGAGACGGCCGCAUUCACGUUAAAUAGGGCACCAUCAAAAUCCGUUGAGACGACGCCUUAUGAACUGUGGUUUGGCAAAAAACCGAAGUUGUUGUUUUUGAAAGUUUGGGGCUGCGAUGCUUAUGUGAAAAAGCUUUAACCUGAUAAGCUCGAACCCAAAUCGGAGAAAUGUGUCUUCAUAGGAUACCCAAAGGAGACCGUUGGGUACACCUUCUAUCACAGAUCCGAAGGCAAGAUUUUUGUUGCUAAAUUAGGAAACUUUCUAGAGAAGGAGUUUCUCUCGAAAGAAGUGAGUGGGAGGAAAGCAGAACUUGAUGAGGUAACUGUACUUGCUCCCUUAUUGGAAAGUAGUUCAUCACGGAAACCGGCUUCCGUGACACCUACACCAAUCAGUGAGGAAGUUAAUGAUGAUGAUCAUGAAACUUCAGACCAAGUUACUACUGAGCCUCAUAGAUCAACCAGAGUAAGAUCCGCAGCAGAGUGGUACGGUAGUCCUGUUCUGGAAGUCAUGCUACUAGAUCAUGAUGACCCUACGAACUAUGAAGAAGCGAUGGUGAGCCCAGAUUCCGCAAAAUGGCUUGAGGCCAUGAAAUCUGAGAUGGGAUCCAUGUAUGAGAACAAAGUAUGGACUUUGGUUGACUUGCCUGAUGAUCGGCAAGCAAUUGAAAAUAAAUGGAUCUUCAAGAAGAAGACUGACACUGACGGUAAUGUUACUGUCUACAAAGCUCGACUUGUUGUGAAAGGUUUUCGACAAGUUCAAGGGAUUGACUAUGAUGAGACCUUCUCACUCGUAGCGAUGCUUAAGUCUGUCCGAAUCAUGUUAGCAAUUACCAUAUUUUAUGAUUAUGAAAUUUGGCAAAUGGAUGUCAAAACUGCAUUUCUGAAUGGAUUUCUAGAAGAAGAGUUGUAUAUGAUGCAACCAGAAGGUUUUGUGGAUCCAAAGGGAGCUAACAAAAUGUGCAAGCUCCAGCGGUCCAUUUAUGGACUGGUGCAAGCCUCUCAGAGUUGGAAUAAACGCUUUGAUAGUAUGAUCAAAGCAUUUGGUUUUGUACAGACUUUUGGAGAAGCCUGUAUUUAUAAGAAAGUGAGUGGGAGCUCUGUAGCAUUUCUAAUAUUAUAUGUACAUAUUGCUGGUUGGAAAUGAUAUAGAAUUUCUAGAUAGCAUAGGGAUACUUGAAUAAGAGUUUUUCAAUGAAAGACGACCUCGGUGAAGCUGCUUAUAUAUUGGGCAUUAAGAUAUAUAGAGAUAGAUCAAGACGCUUAAUUGGACUUUCACAAAGCACAUACCUUGAAAAAGUUUUGAAGAAGUUCAAAAUGGAUCAAGCAAAGAAAGGGUUCUUGCCUGUGUUACAAGGUGUGGAGUUCAGUAAGACUCAAUGCCCGACCACUGCAGAAGAUAGAGAGAAAAUGAAAGAUGUUCCCUAUGCUUCAGCCAUAGGCUCUAUCAUGUAUGCAAUGUUGUGUACCAGACCUGAUGUGUGCCUUGCUAUAAGCCUAGCAGGGAGGUACCAAAGUAAUCCAGGAGUGGAUCACUGGACAGCGGUCAAGAACAUCCUGAAAUACCUGAAAAGGACUAAGGAUAUGUUUCUCAUUUAUGGAGGUGACAAAGAGCUCAUCGUAAAUGGUUACGUUGAUGCAAGCUUUGACACUGAUCCGGACGAUUCUAAAUCACAAACCGGAUACGUGUUUACAUUGAACGGUGGUGCUGUCAGUUGGUGCAGUUCUAAACAAAGCGUCGUGGCGGGAUCUACGUGUGAAGCGGAGUACGUAGCUGCUUCAGAAGCAGCAAAUAAAGGAAUCCAGAUUUCAGAAGAGAUAUAGAUUUGCAAGAUACAUACGGAUCUGAAUGUUGCAGACCCGUUGACUAAGCCUCUUCCACGAGCAAAACAUGAUCAGCACCAAGGCUCCAUGGGUGUUAGAAUCAUUACUGUGUAAUCUAGAUUAUAGACUCUAGUUUAAGUGGGAGACUGAAGGAAAUAUGCCCUAGAGGCAAUAAUAAAGUUAUUAUUUAUUUCCUUAUAUCAUGAUAAAUGUUUAUUAUUCAUGCUAGAAUUGUAUUAACCGAAAACAUAAUACAUGUGUGAAUACAUAGACAAACAAAGUGUCACUAGUAUGCCUCUACUUGACUAGCUUGUUGAUCAAAGAUGGUUAUGUUUCCUAGCCAUAGACAUGAGUUGUCAUUUGAUUAACGGGAUCACAUCAUUAGGAGAAUGAUGUGAUUGACAUGACCCAUUCCGUUAGCUUAGCACCCGAUCGUCUAGUAUGUUGCUAUUGCUUUCUUCAUGACUUAUACAUGUUCCUAUGACUAUGAUAUUAUGCAACUCCCGUUUACCGGAGGAGCACUUUGUGUGCUACAAAACGUCACAACGUAACUGGGUGAUUAUAAAGGAGCUCUACAGGUGUCUCCAAAGGUACAUGUUGGGUUGGCGUAUUUCGAGAUUAGGAUUUGUCACUCCGAUUGUCGGAGAGGUAUCUCUGGGCCCUCUCGGUAAUGCACAUUACUUAAGCAUUGCAACUAAUGAGUUAGUUGCGGGAUGAUGUAUUAUGGGAUGAGUAAAGAUACUUGCCGGUAACGAGAUUGAACUAGGUAUUGAGAUACUGACGAUCGAAUCUCGGGCAAGUAACAUACCGAUGACAAAGGGAACAACGUAUGUUGUUAUGUGGUCUGACCGAUAAAGAUCUUCGUAGAAUAUGUAGGAGCCAAUAUGAGCAUCCAGGUUCCUCUAUUGGUUAUUGACCAGAGACGUGUCUCGGUCAUGUCUACAUAGUUCUCGAACCCGUAGGGUCCGCACGCUUAACGUUUCGAUGACAUUUAUAUUAUGAGUUUAUAUGUUUUGAUGUACCGAAGGUUGUUCGCUGUCCUGGAUGUGAUCACGGACAUGACGAGGAGUCUCGAAAUGGUCGAGACAUGAAUAUUGAUAUAUUGGAAGCCUAUGUUUGGAUAUCGGAAGUGUUUCGGGUGAAAUCUGGAUUUUACCGGAGUACCGGGAUGUUACCGGAACCCCCCGGUAACUAAAUGGGCCUUAGUGGGCCUAGGUGGAAGAGAGGAGAGGAGGCAAGGGCUGGCUGCGCGCCCCUCCCCCCCCCCCUAGUCCGAAUAGGACAAGGAGAGGGGGGCGGCGCCCCCCCCCCUUCCUUCCUUCUCCUCCACUCCUUCCCCCUCCCAAGUCCUAAUCCAACUAGGAAAGGGGGGAGUCCUACUCCCGGUGGGAGUAGGACUCCUCCGGCGCGCCUCCUCCUAUGGCCGGCCGCACCCCCCUUGCUCCUUUAUAUACGGGGGCAGGGGGCACCCCAUAGAUACAACAAUUGAUCGUUUGAUCUUUUAGCCGUGUGCGGUGCCCCCCUCCACCAUAGUCCACCUCGAUAAUACUAUAGCGGUGCUGAGGCGAAGCCCUACGUCGGUUGAACAUCAUCAUCGUCACCAUGCCGUCGUGCUGACGAAACUCUCCCUCAACACUCAGCUGGACCGGAGUUCAAGGGACGUCAUCGGGCUGAACGUGUGCUGAACUCGGAGGUGCCGUGCGUUCGGUACUUGAUCGGUCGGACCGUGAAGACGUAUGACUACAUCAACCGCGUUGUGCUAACACUUCCGCUUUCGGUCUACGAGGGUACGUGGACAACACACUCCCCUCUCGUUGCUAUGCAUCACCAUGAUCUUGCGUGUGCGUAGGAAAUUUUUUCAAAUUACUACGUUCCCCAACAGUCCUCAUAAAUGGCAUUGUACCUGCCCUACAACCUAGCUAUGAGCACUUGCCAUCGAAAGCAAAAAUAUGCUUCUCCUUCUGUGUUGUUUAUCCCAAGGAUAGGAUGAUGGAUAAAGACAUAUUAAUCCGGCUAUGGAUGGAAAGUGUCUUCGUUGCAUCAGAAACAGCAGGCCAACAAAUUUGCGAUGUUCUAUUUUGGAGAUGUUUCUUACAAGAUGUGGAUAUUGGUAGGAUGUCUUCAUACAUAAUAUACAUGAUUUCAUGCAUGAUCUUGUUGACUCUGUAAGAAGAAAUAAUUGCUUACUUAUGCAAGAAUCUUCAUCGUCCCAAGAAAUUGUGGAACGAUCUACUGAUGGGAGUUCAUUUCAAUAUGAGGUUCAACAUUCGUCACUUGAUUUUUUAGUAAUAUUGCCACUUCGUAGGAAAUUAUUGCUCCCUGUCCGCUCACGAUAUUAGUCUCAUGAGAGAAGGACUGUAUUAAGACUCCGCUGCAUAUGGUCACAUAUAAAUUCAUGUUCCUGCAAGCAUUGAAGUCAUCCUCAAUCAAAACGCACAUGGGAAACUUAAAGCAUCUUCACUACCUAGAUUGUUCUAAUUCUUGUAUGUUUGAAUUGCCUGAAUCCACUACGUACCAUCUUGCAUAUAUAGCUUCCAAAAACUAAGGCUCAACCAUCAUUUAUUCCUUUACUAGAAGAGAUGAAAUUUAUGAGAAGUCUUCGGCACAUCUUCCUUACUAACUAUGGUUGUUUGGACCACAUGCCACAAGGUAUUGGUUAAUUGAAUUCUCCGACCACAUUGAUGAAUUAUGUCAUUGAUAGUGAUUCGGGUUAUGGGAAUUGAUCAACAUGAAAAUUUGAGUCUAGGUGGUGCUCUUUCUUUUACUCAAUUGAUAAAGGUGAGUAGUGCAAAAAAGUGUUAAACAAGGCAAUAUGUCCACCAAAGCAUAAGUUGAAAUGAUUAUCACUCGAUUUGUACUGGGAUUAUAGAAGAAACUAUGGAGAUAAAGUACAUAAUAAUGCGAAAGGAAUAUUACAAGCCCUUCACCCUAAAAAAGGAUUAAAUUUUUAUUGUUAAUUAUGUUGUUAUACUGGAGCUAAAUUAUCAUCGUGGAUGCAAAACUCUACACUGUUCAAACACCUCCCUGAUUGCUAUUCAAGUAGAUGCAAGAACGGCAAGGAUCCCCACCAUUAUGGCAGCUUCCUUGCAUCAAGUAGUGGCGUUUGGAAUGCUUGAUGUGUAUAUGUGUUUGUAAUAAUGAUAAAAAAUGUGAGGAAUCCUGUAUUUCUCCACAAUCAUUCUUCCCAAAACUAGAAAACCUAAUAGAUAGCAACAUUCCAAAGCUACAGAGAUGGCACCAUGAGGUUGUGAUACGUCUCCAACGUAUCUAUAAUUUUUGAUUGUUCCAUGCUAUUAUAUUAUCUGUUUUGGAUGUUUAAUGGGCUUUAAUAUGCUCUUUUAUAUUAUUUUUGGGACUAACCUAUUAACCGAAGGCCCAGUGCAAAUUGCUGUUUUUUUUUGCCUAUUUCAGUGUUUCGCAGAAAAGGUUAUCAAAUGGAACGAAACCUUCGCGAGGAUCUUUCUUGGAACAAACGCAACCCAAGAGACUUGGAGUGGAAGUCAAGGAAGAAACGAGGCAGCCACGAGGCAGGAGGGCGCCCCCCCACCCUCGUGGGCCCCUCAUAGCUCCACCGACCUACUUCUUUCGCCUAUAUAUACUCUUAUACCCUGAAAACAUCGAGGGGAUCCACGAAACCACUUUUCCACUGCCGCAACCUUCUGUACCCGUGAGAUCCCAUCUUGGGGCCUUUUCCGGUGAUCGUCCAGAGGGGAUUCGAUCACGGAGGGCUUCUACAUCAACACCAUAGCCUCUCCGAUGAUGUGUGAGUAGUUUACCAUAGACCUUCGGGUCCAUAGUUAUUAGCUAGAUGGCUUCUUCUCUCUCUUUGGUUCUCAAUACAAAGUUCUCCUCGAUUUUCUUGGAGAUCUAUUCGAUGAAAAACCUUUUGCGGUGUUUUUGCCGAGAUCCAAUGAAUUGUGGGUCUAUGAUCAAGAUUAUCUAUGAAAAAUAUUUGGUUCUUCUCUGAAUUCUUAUAUGCAUGAUUUAAUAUCUUUGCAAGUCUCUUCGAAUUAUCGGUUUAGUUUGGCCUACUAGAUUGAUCUUUCUUGCAAUGGGAAAAGUGCUUAGCUUUGGGUUCAAUCUUGCGGUGCUCGAUCCCAGUGACAGAAAGGGAAACGACAUGUGUUGUAUUGUUGCCAUCGAGGAUAAAAAUAUGGGGUUUAUAUCAUAUUGCUUGAGUUUAUCCCUCUACAUCAUGUCAUCUUGCCUAAUGCGUUACUCUAUUCUUAUGAACUUAAUACUCUAGAUGCAUGCUCGAUAGCGGUCGAUGUGUGGAGUAAUAGUAGUAGAUGCAGAAUCGUUUCGGUCUACUUGUCACGGACGUGAUGCCUAUGUUCAUGAUCAUUCCUAGAUAUUCUCAUAACUAUGUGCUUUUCUAUCAAUUGCUCAACAGUAAUUUGUUCACCCACCGUAAUAUAUGCUAUCUUGAGAGAAGCCACUAGUGAAACCUAUGGCCCCCGGGUCUACUUUACAUCAUAUAAGUUUCCGAUCUACAAUUCUAGUUUACUAUUUAUUUUCAAUCUUUACUUUUCCAAUCUAUACAACAAAAAUACCAAAAAUAUUUAUCUUAUUAUCUUUAUCAGGUCUCACUUUUGCAAGUGGCCGUGAAGGGAUUGACAACCCUUUUAUCGCAUUGGUUGCAAGGUUCUUGAUUGUUUGUGCAUGUACUAGGAGAUUUGUGUGUAGUCUCCUACUGGAUUGAUACCUUGGUUCUCAAAAACUAAGAGAAAUAAUUACACUACUUUGUUGCAUCACCCUUUCUUGUUCAAGGGAAAACCAAUGUAUGCUCAAGAGGUUGCAGGAGAAGUAACAGAUGUAGCAUUCCUUUAGCUCAAGAUGUUAAAUAUUCGUAAUUACUCAGUGCGAGAAAGUACACCUCAGAUGCUCCCUUUGGUUGAAGAUCUAUAGGUGUUUGGAAAAAACAUUUUUCCAAUUUACCAUUAGAUGAAUUUGUGAGUGCAAUCUAAUCUUGAGUGCGAAGGUAUAUUUUGUGGAACCUACAGUCGAUUGUCUGCUUACUGAUGACCUUCAUAUCCCAAGUCAUGGAGACUAACAUGUCACUAAUGCUCAUAGGUCUGACAAAAAAAUGUGGAAUUCUUUGAAGAAGAGCUUAACAGAAUAUGCAAAGGUGGAGAUAAUAGAUCGUGACUGUGUAGUUGCUUGUUUGAUGCUAUGUGAUUCAUUUGGUUAGGUUGCUUGUUUUGAGGGCUCAUAUUAUCAAACUUGUUGAACAACCACUGCAGAUGCUUUGAUUUCUUUUAUUUGGAAAUUGUUAAUUAUUGAAUGUUGAGCAUCAAAGAAAAUUGACCGAGUACAAAAAAAUAGGGGGGGGGGAGGAGGUGGCGAACGUGUCCGUGCUCUAGCACCCUCCCGGUUGUCCACGAACAUGUUCAGACAUGCGUCCAUGGAUGUUUGACGGUGUUCAUUUGAUGAAUAGAAAAGUGUAGGAUAUGCCCUUUGUCUUCAAGGCAACUUUUAAUGCUUAAAAAUUGACUUUGAUUUUUAGAAGGGACAUAGGUUUAUUGUAAAGGUCUAUCCUCUUUAUAAUAGUUGAUUUAGGAAUAAUUAUUUCCAACCUAGUACAUAUUGAUAAUUUGUUUGAAGGUUACACGAGUAAAUUGAAAUUGAGAAACUAUUUGAAAGUUUUGUGCAUAUAUUUUUGAAACUCAGAAGUUGCAACAAUGUGUUGCGGAAUCAAUGACUUGAUGAGGGGCAAAUUGAUCAAUCCUGAAAGCCAUGUAGAAAUAUCAAAUCGGUUAUACCAAAGUAUGUAUAGAACACAUCAAUCUAGAUUUGACAUAUCAAUGCGAGGGGAUACAAACUUAGUAUCAACAUAUCUUUUUGCAUUCACUGGACACUAUUCUUUUGGAUAUCCAUGAUCAAGAUAUGUUGCAUUAAAGAAAUGGUGGAAGUCAGAUGUGUAGUAUCAACAUCAUUAAUAAAGGAUAUCCAAAUUGAGUAUAUACAUAUUUGUAUAUAGAUUUGACACUAAUCAUAUGCAUAUCCAUGACGCAACUUGCAAACUUCAUUUAUGAAACCCAACUAUACGCAUUAUAAAUAAACAUCAACCUCCCAUACAUCAUAUCCCUCCAACUCCUCACCCCCCCCCCCACGCAAAUAUCCAUGCACAUAUUAGAUAUCAUUAAAAAGGAGAUCAAAACUGAGCACUCAAAUAUUUAUGCACAGAUUAACCAAUAAUAAUAGGCAUAUCCAUGACCAAGCUCCAUACUGCAUUUAUGAACCCCACUAUACACAUUAUAAAUAAAUCUCAACCUCUCAUACAUCAUAUCCAACCAUUUUCCCCCUACACAACCAUCUAUAUCCAUUUAUCCCCACCUCUCUAGGUUGUAGUACAAUUCAACGCUUCUAACAAGCCUUGCAACAAUAUAUAUAUGGCACGAACACAGAUGGACACCAUCAUCUUUUCCGCCAUUGUCUUCAUGUUGCUUUUCGUGACCACGACGGCUCAAGCCAGUGGAUCUGGUGGUGCCAAGCCCAAGGCGACCGACCUCGUGAUAGAAGUGUGCAAGAACGCCACAUUAAACAACGCAAAUGUGGAUCCUCUCAGAGAGGAAUUCUGUUUAACGACCCUCUAGUCAGACAAUCGAAGCGCUGAGGCUAAGGAACUCCGUGACUUGCUGCAAGUCACCGUCGACAUCCUUAGGGGUCGAGUCACUACUACCAGCAGCAAGGUCAAGAAAAUGUUGGAAAACACCAAGAAGGGCACGGUGCCAAUGCGCGUCUUCAGUUUGUGUGAGGUGGAUUAUGACACCAUGGUGAGCGUCAUCAACAUAUGUGAUGCCAUUAUCAAGGAUUACCAACGUGACGAGGGCAGGCAAUGGUCCAAAGAGCUAGUCCGUUGGAUGGAUAUGGCACGUGAUCAUGUCAAUGAGUGCAUCUCUGAGCUUGUUGACAUGCCUGCAGUGGGGGCUCUUGUCAAUGAAAACAAUGAAUUGGGAAUGCUGGUUAAACUGAACACCGCCUUGGUAGCAGCCCGUAUGUUUCCCGAGUAAUAGGAUGUUUGUGUUUAUAUGGCAGAAAAUAUGUCGAUGAGAAAUAAAUUGUACUAUUAAUAGUUAUUACUAUAAAUAUAAUGAUAAAUGUGUUGUGGCAUCAAUAUGCAUGGUUUUCCACAAAUUUUUCAUUUUGCUAUGAUAAUUCUAGAUUUUUUGGGGCCCAUUCGUCUUUCUUUCUUCAAAGUCUUACAAUAAUGACAUCUAUCACUCGUUGUGGAACCUCUCUUUUAAAUUGGCUCUUGAAAUCCGAUUGUCAGUAUUUUUUUAAUAUACCAUUGUUAGUAUGUUAUUCUGAUGUGUUGAACUUAUCUAUCUCCCAAGUUAUCUCUAUGCGUGAAUAUUUUCAAGUAUGAAGAGCCAAGGUCAAUGUAACAGCGCAAACAAUUGCAACCACCCGUUUAGCCAACAGGCUACUACCAUCUACGUGUCAAUCCUUAUCUUUACAUAAUAUAAUAAUAAAGAACGGAGGCUUUCAUAUUGUCCAUCACUCAUCUGUUUAUAUCGAUCGAUUUUAUGUUAACCAUAAAAAUUAACGGCUGGGAUUUAAAAAUAAAUCAACACACAUGUAAUAAGAAAAGCAAACAAACAAACGCUAUGGAACAAAGUAAAAAAAGUCAUGAACGUUGCACGUCUCUCUUGACGAUGAGAAAAAGGAAAACAAUCAUAUAUAUCAGAUCAAUUUCCUGACAAUCCCUCUUUGGCACUGCAAGCGCCGGUUAUAACUGUUUUGUGCAAACCGGCGCCUGCAGCCCACAUCCCUCUAAUGCGACUGGGCCGGUCCAUGUAUCUGCUUUUAUAUUUUUUUCUAAAGGUUCAGAAAAUGUGUGUCCGCACGAAAUUGAACUCAAGAUCUGCUCUAGUAAAUUAGCACCGCAACCAUCAGGCCACAAAAUAUCGCGGUAACUCCUCCGUUUGGGAAUCUUCCAGAACCUUCCCUAAACCGUUUUUUGGUUCGUUGGUCAUUUCCAGGUGCGAUUUUACUCGGUUUUCUUUUGUUCUUUUCCUUUUAUUUCUUAAAUGCGUUUUUUUAUCGUGUUAUUUUUCAAAAUCAAUCAUGUUUUUCUCUUUCACGUAUUUAACAAAAUCAAUGAACUUUUUUCCAAAUUCGAUGAACCUUUUUAAAAAUUGAUGAACUUUUUUGAAAUACGAGUAACUUUGUUCAAAUCUGAUGAACUUUUUUUUCAAAAUUGAUUCUACAACUAUCGCUAAUGCAUAGUGAUAAAGUAAGUCAAUUACAUGGCAUUUGCAUCUCAUACAAUAAAGCGACAACCAUAAGGCAACUGCCAGUUGCCGAUAACUUUUACAAAACAUGAUCAUCUCAUACAAUAACGUAUAUCACAUCAUGUCUUGACCAUAUCACAUCACAACAUGCCCUGCAAAAACAAGUUAGACAUCCUCUACUUUGAUGUUGCAAGUUUUACGUGGCUGCUACGGGCUUCUAGCAAGAAACAUUCUUAACUACGCAUCAAAACCACAACGGUGAUUUAUCAAGUUUGUUGUUUUAGCCUUCAACAAGGACCGGACGCAGUCAAAUUCGAUUCAACAAAAGUGGGAGAAACAGACACCCACCAGCCACCUUUAUGCAAAACUAGUUGCAUGUCUGUCGGUGGAACAGGUCUCAUGAACGUGGUCAUGUAAGGUUGGUACGGGCCGCUUCAUCCAACAAUACCGCCGAAUCAAAAUAAGACAUUGGUGGUAAGCAUAGACCUGGCUUGGAUGCCACUGUUGGUGCAAUUUCAAAAAAAAUCCUACGCUCACGUAAGAUCUAUCUAGGAGAUGUAUAGCAACAAGAGGGGGAGAGUGUGUCCACGUACCCUCGUAGACCAAAAGCAGAAUCAUUUUGACAAUGUGGUUGAUGUAGUCGAACUUCUUCUCGUUCCGACCGAUUAAACACCGAACGUACGGCACCUCCGAGUUCUGCACACGUUUAGCUCAAUGACGUCCCUCGAGCUCUUGAUCCAACAGAUUGUCGAGGGAGAGUUUCGUCAGCACAAUGGCGUGGUGAUGGUGAUGGUGAAGUGAUCCGCACAGGGCUUCGCCUAAGCACUAUGACAACUAGUCGUCUACCCGUGCGUUCGCACGGGCUAUAGAAAUUAUAUAUUUACAAAAUCUUCACAAUACAUAUUCUAAGGACAAUGGUGAUUGAUAUUAGAUGACAUUUCAUUUUCCUAUCCUCACUGUAAUGGAUGAGCCCAAAAUUAGAAAGAUAACAAUACAUGCCAUAGCAUUAAUAAUUAACAUAGAGAACCUUUUGUUGUAUAAAUCAUUCUUAGAUUCUCGUUGACAACCUUGAAUCAUAAGAACUGGCCAAAUUAUGUCUCUGUAUAACUUGUGUUGGUAUAUUUUAGUUAGAAAUCAAUAAUACUUUUGCUAAUAUUUGACCUGAAAAUGAGAAUGUUUUUUAUAAUUUAUACCACGAUGUAUGUCAGGAAGAACCUAUAAAUAUAAUAAAGUGGUGUUGUCUAUGUAAAAAAAGUCUCGCAUAAAUUUGAAUAUAAAGACAUUAUUUUGUUUGUUCUUGGAAUUAUUAUAUCCUCGAGUAAUAUUGUAUGAAUAAAUAUAUGACAACCCAAUUGUAUAGUUGGAUUAUUUUUAAUAUGCAGAACUCCAAAGCACGGAAGGUUCAUAUUAGAAUUUUUAAUGCAUGUAAUGUAUCAAAUUCUGAAGUAGAUUUGAAAGUCUGAUAUCAUAAUACAUUUCACAAUGACUCCAAAAAAGAUUUUGGUUGAUGGCUUGCGUGAAAUUUGUUUCAUUAGAUUUUUCACAUGAAAUAUGUUCAGAGUAUUACUCUUUGAACUUGUUGUGUUUGCAUGUUCGAGCAAAAAAUAAUUAUCAAGUUUAAUAGUAAGAAACUUAAAAUGAUUAGAAACUUUAAAUAGUAUUGGGACUCAUAGAGUGCAAUUUUUAAAUGUUACCAGUUCCUCUCAUCAUGGGCGUAGUCAAUUGGAACACUUGGUUUGUUUUUCCUGUUUGCAGUUGAGAAGGUGAAUCUUACUGACUACAUAUAAUGUAUUGAUUUCUACUCCAGCACGUACGCCAUGACAAACUUGUACCUGCUGCGAGGCCCUCUCGAGCAAUCGAUACAUACAUAUGUUAGUGCGUAUACUUUCUUUUAAUGUAUAUACUUGUCUUUGCUAUAGCCUUCUUCCUACAUCUGCGAGUAAGCAGCAACCUGUUUUUUUAAUAAUUGUCACCUUGAACAUGGCACACAUGAACCCUAUAUUCCUCCAUUGCCGAACCAUCUAAAACAACUAACUUUUCCUUACUCACUGACACACGGUUUUAAGCAUCAUCCCAUACUGUUCAUUUUUCAUAUUCUAAUAUGUUUUCCAAACUGAGAAAAUGAUACAACCAAUCAUAUCUAGCGAAAUUGUUCUGCAACUUUCUUGCUGUAAGCAUGAUAUAAUUCUUCCUUGAAAUUGAUGGGAAAUAGGCUAAAGGGUAAUCUGUUUCUAUUAAAAACUACAACGCAGAAUCAGGUUUUUCGUCUUAGUUUGCAAACCCUAAACAAGAAUCGAACGAAAUUGGUACCACUGGAAAGCUUGCAACGUAUCCCAUAACUUUUACCACUGUCUUAAUUUCAGAUUAUGCAAUGUUUUAUCACAGUUUUAAACUUAACUCUACCGGCUCAGACAACCCAUGCCUAGAUAAAUACUUAGCGUCAGUCUCUCCAAUCCAUCUUUCUACUUUGCCAAUAAUGACUAAUUAGGGUUUACCUUUUCUGUGUGGAAUCAUUCUUCCAGUUCCAUGGCAAGAUCACAAAUUUUGGACGACCCAACGGAUUCUCCUUCCUCCAGAGUCUUCUUCUCCGCUCAGAUUGGCUACUGCGCCUUACUCUUCUGAUUACAUGUAUUCCCUUCUCUCUUCUGACUAAAUUCUCCCUGGUGCAAUAUGUGCAGUCUACUGCCUUGAGCUGCUCCUUGUCAUAGCUUGCUCUGCACUCCAGAUCUCUUGCUCUGAUUGGUGGCUGGAUCAAAUGCAACCCACCCAACAGUAGUUAGCUCAACAUAAGCGGCUUCAAAAAAACGCAAGGAGCAGCACAUAAACGUAAAGGUCGACGACUGAAAAUGGCAACACCAUCCUAGAGCAGUGGAGCUCACGGCUAUACGUAGAACUUGGUGGUGGUAGUCAUGAACAGCGACCAGCACCAGCCUCCGGUAGAAGGGGGCAGUUCAUCCAUGUGCUUGAGUGUUGACGGCUGGCCAUAUUGUGAACGACAGAGUCGUCAAUUCUGACUAAGUGUAGUCUCAUGCUGAUUCUCUACUGCCGCAUAGGCAUGUCCGGCGGUGGCCAGCGUGACUGCAUGCUGGGUCAUCGAUCAAUGAUCCGGGCAAUUCAAUUGUAAACCCCAAAAAAGCAAAUUCAAAGCAAAUCAGUGUGAGAUGAGGAACCUGAUUUAGAUAAGGAACAAAAUUCUAAUGUGAUAACUUCAGCGAGAGCUUGGGAUCCAUGCCCUAACAUCCUUGCUCCAAUUUGAGAGAGAGAACGAUCUGUUUACCAUGUGUGAAGUAAAGAGAGACAUGAGAGAAGAGAUAUAUGAGAGUUUGAGAGAGGGAGAAACGGGAUAGAUUGAGAGAGAUAGACGAAGAUAAAUAUGACAGUUUGAGAGAGAGAAAGAGACGUGAGGGACUAAGAGAGAGAGAGUUUGAGAGAGGGACGUCAGAGAUUGUGAGAGACCACGAUUUCUUAGGUUGUUGUUUUUCUUUUACUCUGAGAGGAAUAGAAAGAGGUAGAUAUUUUAUGGUUUACUAUUCAAAAGUUUUUUUGGCAGAACUAAGCUGCCUGAAUGGUCAAAAAAAAUAUUGUUCUCUGAAGAUUAAUCUACACCGUAAUAACUCGGUCCCACCAGAUGAACGGCUGGUAAAUUCUAAUUAACGUGGUAAUUUUUAGGGAGUCUGUAAUUAAUAUAAGUAUAGAUAUAGAUAUAGAUAGAUAGAUAGAUAUAGAUAGAUAGAUAUAGAUAGAUAGAUAUAGAUAUAGAUAGAUAGAUAGAUAGAUAGAUAGAUAGAUAUAGAUAGAUAGAUAUGACUGAAGGCGUAAACUGUGGAGGGGCGCCGCACACGGCUAGGAAUCAAUGUUGUGUGUUCUAGAGAUGCCCCUCCCACAUAUAUAUUAGGUGGGAGAGGGAGGGGAGCAGCAAGGGGCGCCUCCUCCAAGUCGCCCCCCCCUCCCUUUCAUAAGUGUUGGAGGCUGAAUCCUCCCCUUUCCUUCUCCCUUCCCUCCUUUCCUUCUUCUCCUAUUUUGGUCUACAUGGGGCGCACCAGCCCACUAGGGGCUGGUCUGUCCCCUGCUUGGCCCAUUAGGCCCAUGUAGUUGCCGGGGGAUGUCCGGAACCCCUUCCGUUGACCCGAUAUGUACCAGGAACCCUCGGAACACUUCCAGUGUCCAAAUACCAUCGUCCUAUAUAUGAAUCUUUACCUAUCGACCAUUUUGAGACUCCUCGUCAUGUCCGUGAUCUCAUCCGGGACUCCGAACAACAUUCGGUCACCAAAUCGCAUAACUCAUAUAAUACAAAAUCGUCAUCAAACGUUAAGUGUGCGGACCCUACGGGUUCGAGAACUAUGUAGACAUGACUAAGACACCUCUCCGGUCAAUAACCAACAGCGGAAACUGGAUGCUCAUAUUGGUUCCUACAUAUUCUACGAAGAUCUUUAUCGGUCGUACCGUAAUGACAACAUACGUUAUUCCCUUUGUCAUUGGUAUGUUACUUGCCCGAGAUUCGAUCGUCGAUAUCUUCAUACCUAUUUCAAUAUCGUUACCGGCAAGUCUCUUCACUCGUUCCAUAAUACAUCAUCCCAAAAUUAACUCAUUAGUCACAUUGCUUUCAAGGCUUAUUAUGAUGUGCAUUACCGAGAGGGCCCAGAGAUACCUCACCGAUACUCGGAGUGACAAAUCCUAAUCUCAAUCUAUGCCAACCCAACAAACACCUUCGGAGAUACCUGUAGAGCAUCUUUAUAAUCACCCAGUUCCGUUGUGACGUUUGAUAGUACACAAGGCAUUACUCCGGUAUCCGAGAGUUGCAUAAUCUCAUAGUCAAAGGAACAUGUCUAUGACAUGAAGAAAGCUGUAGCAAUAAAACUGAACGAUCAAUAUGCUAAGCUAACCGAUGGGUCUUUUCCAUCACAUCAUUCUCCUAAUGAUGUGAUCCCGUCCAUCAAAUGACAACACAUGUCUAUGGUUAGGAAACUCAACCAUCUUUGAUUAACGAGCUAGUCUAGUAGAGGCUUACUAGGGAAACUGUGUUUUGUCUAUGUAUCCACACAUGUAUCUAGUUUCCGGUUAAUACAAUUCUAGCAUGAAUAAUAAACAUGUAUCAUGAUAUAAGGAAAUAUAAAUAAGAACUUUAUUAUUGCCUCUAGGGCAUAUUUCCUUCACUAAGAGAGGAAGGCGGUUGUCGCCCUUGUCCCUUGUUACCAGCCUACCAUGCCGUCAUCGAUCACUGGCUCACUUAGAACACGAGCUAGUAGAUUUUGUGAUAAGAGUGAGGAGGAUGGUACCGUAGAAAAUGUGAAAAAUUGUAUUUUAUUAGAGAUGGAUUCAAAACAAAUUGCUUGAGCGAGUGGUUUAUAUAUUUUCUUCAUCAAUUCGUACAAUUUUUUGGUUAGGAUAGAGGGGUAAAUGCAUUGGUUGGGUGCUUCAAGAUUUAAUAACGGACACAGUGGCAUAUUGGUUUCAUGCCAAACAACCGACAUCAUAUUUUUCUUUUGUCGUAAGGUACGACAUUCAACUGUAUGUUGGCAAUGUCUAAGGACAAUCAUAUCUGCCUUCUUGGGCGUCACGGGAGGCACAUGCCUUGUUCCCUUGAUGGAGGUGGCAGAUGGCAUGAUCACGGGGGGAGGGGAUCAGGGCAGAGAGCGGGGCGGUUGGCAGGUGAUAACCCACAAGUAUAGGGGAUCACAACAGUUUUCGAGGGUAGAGUAUUCAACCCAAAUUUACUGAUUCGACACAAGGAGAGCCAAAGAAUAUUCUCAAGUAUUAGCAGUUGAUUUGUCAAUUCAUCCACACCUGUAAGACUUCAUAUCUGCAGCAAAUUAUUUAGUAGCAAAGUAGUAUGGAAGUAACGGUAACGGUGGUAAAAGUAACAGUAACAGUUCUGUAGUAAUUGUAACAGUGGCAAUGGUAAAGUAACUAAGCAAAGAUCAAUAUGUGAAAAGCUCGUAGGCAUUGGAUCAAUGAUGGAUAAUUAUGUCGGAUGUGAUUCCUCAUGCAACAGUUAUAACAUAGGGUGACACAGAACUAGCUCCAGUUCAUCAAUGUAAUGUAGGCAUGUAUUUCGAAUAUAGUCAUACGUGCUUAUGGAAAAGAACUUGCAUGACAUCUUUUGUCUUACCCUCCCGUGGCAGGGGGUCCUGUUGGAAACUAAGGGAUAUUAAGGCCUCCUUUUAAUAGAGUACCGGACAAAAGCAUUAACACUUAGUGAAUACAUGAACUCCUCAAACUAUGGUAAUCACCGGGAGUGGUCCCGAUUAUUGUCACUUCGGGGUUACCGGAUCAUAACACAUAGUAGGUGACUAUUGACUUGCAAGAUAGGAUCAAGAACUCACAUAUAUUCAUGAAAACAUAAUAGGUUCAGAUAUGAAAUCAUGGCACUCGGGCCCUAGUGACAAGCAUUAAGCAUAGCAAAGUCAUAGCAACAUCAAUCUCAGAACAUAAUGGAUACUAGGGAUCAAACCCUAACAAAAAUAACUCGAUUACAUGGUAAAUCUCAUCCAACCCAUCACCGUCCAGCAUGCCUAUGAUGGAAUUACUCACGCACGGCGGUGAGCAUCAUGAAAUUGGUGAUGGAGGAAGGUUGAUGAUGACGAUGGCGACGGAUUCCCCUCUCUGGUGCCCCAAACGGACUCCAGAUCAUCCCUCCCGAGAGAGAUUAGGGCUUGGCGGCGGCUCCGUAUCGUAAAACGCGAUGAAUUCUUAUCUCUGAUUUUUUUCUCCCCGAGCGUGAAUAUAUACAGUUGGAGUUGAGGUCGGUGGAGCUUCAGGGGGCCCACGAGGCAAGGGGGCGCGCCCCCCACCCUCGUGGACAGGGUGUGGGCCCCUUGGUGUUGAUUCAUUCGCCAGUAUUUUUUAUAUAUUCCAAAAUAUUCUCCGUGAAGUUUCAGGUCAUUCCGAGAACUUCUAUUUCUGCACAAAAAUAACACCAUGGCAAUUCUACUGAAAACAGGGUCAGUCCGGAUUAGUUCCAUUCAAAUCAUGCAAGUUAGAGUCCAAAACAAGGGCAAAAGUGUUUGGAAAAGUAGAUAUGAUGGAGACAUAUUAGUAGGGGAUUCCUCCUUGAUGGUCCAUGGGGUUGUAUGUUGUGAAGGAGAAAGGAGACUACAGCGAAGGUCAAGUGAGCGUCAUCAGAUUUUAAUGUAGAGAGCACCAACGACAAAUUCCCGUUUAUGGCGGAAAAUUGAGCGAGAAGGGGACGUUCCGGUAGGAAAAGGGAAGGGUGCAUCGUCGAGUGGAGUUUUUGUGUUGGAACCGCGUGUUGGAGAUGAUGGAGGAUAAUAUGGAAAACCACAUAUCUUCCUCACAUAUAGGUUGGAUUUUGGUGAUCCCAGACUAUCUGAAUGGUUGGAUUUUCAGGAGCCUUUUAGGCGCCUAUCUGAUGUUCGAACACUCUCGGACAUAUGAGAGAGAAAUGGGCUUCAACCUUGGAGAUGAUCUUAAUCAUUUGUCUUGUCUAAUUCAUUUUUAUAUAUUAUAGCCUGUAGCAACACACGGGCAUUCCACUAGUAUUAAUUAGUGCUCUGGAAGACACCCGUUAAGAUGUGCUUCCAACACUCGAAGUGGGGGAUGUGUCCAAAUUAUGUCUUGACCGAAAUGCGCCCUGCAUCAAGAGUCAGUUGUCUAGCUGUAUGCCCUAUUCGCCACGCGGAGUUUCCUCGGUAAUUAAGGUAAAUCAAACAAAAUCAUUGGACAUUUAAUGACUACACCUUAUGCAUCCCCAGAGAUUGGAUCCACCCUACCAUACUAAGCCCUUCUAUCACUCGUGUUCAGAAUUGCACUUCACGUUGUCCCGUGUCCUAACCUCCACUUGGACCGAACUCCAGGAUCCAUGCAACCUGUAGGGCCGAAGAACGAGGUUGGGGGAGAGAGAGAGAAGAGACUACUAUGAUGUAAUUUUAUUUUAUAUAUACAUGACGUCCAUUCAAAGUCAUUCCAUCAACCCCUCAAACAAAUACAUCAGGUUGCAGGGACAUUGGACAUUGCCUUACCGAAUUACUCACACAUGGCGAUCGGAUCGCAAGAAGUAAUCAGUGAAGAAGACAUCGGAUCAGAUCACAAAACAAAGAGAGGAUUUCACAAUCCCUUGCAUUCAUCAGUCAUUAGUGGCAAUAUCAAUGGGAGUAUCAUAGAUUUUAUAAGAUAAACAUGUUUAGACUAUGGCAUGAUGAGCAUAAAAGUAACACACGUCAACUCUUCAAGAUUAAACUUGAUCAUCCUCUAGUAACAUAGAUAGAAAUCCAAACCGUAAGGAACUAGGUUGUUUAAUGCCUAGAUAGACCUCCGCUUCUUCACAUGAAAAGUUAGUAUAGCUGUAGCGGUGACAUGGUUAUUAUGCAAGUGUUAUUGAAGCAAAGAUAAUCAACACAAAGCUCUUGCUCACCUAGAAAAAAUAAAAAGUAGCUUUUAUUCUAUUUAAUCUAGUUAACACUUGCUUGCGGGGAACACAUGGAAGAGAAUUUUCUUUCUUGAGCAAUGAAAACAUAAAUUAAGGGAGUGAAAGUUAUGAAAACACAACAUGAUACUAGAGUAACUCAUUAACACCCACGAGUGUCUCAUCAUUAAUUCUCGCAAGGACUUCGCUUCAAUCAUUGCUUGCUGAAACUUUUCUUGUCUAGUGACGAGAUUAUGCCAAAGAAAUUAUUCAUGCAUAAGGUUUCGCAGAGGCUUAAGCUUGAGUACUAUUGAUGAGUCCAAAUUGUGUGAUUAUUUCUACGAGUAUUUUGUGCCAACUCCAUAGGCUUUGUGGAAUGUUACUGCGUUCACACACUAUUUUUGUCAUUUUUCCCCAGGACACUUCUUUUGGAACAAAUGGAAAACUAUGGUAGGAAUCACAUGAUAUUAUGGUGGAAUCACAUAAAUCAAUGUGAUUAUACCUUACCAUAAAUAGAAUAAAAUACUUAAAGGAAAUUGGAUCUGGCGCAGUCCAACAAAGUGCAACACGGGCAACCAUACGAGCGCACGUGCUCGUGCAUGCAGCCGUAUGGCAUGCUGGUAGCUCCCUCCCGUCGACUACUUCUUCCCUAUGGAUAAAGAUCGCCGAAUAGACACACACACACACACACACACAUACACACAACCACCAGAAACACAUCCAGGAGGAGAACCCUAACUUUUUGAACCCAUCCAGAGGGGAAUUGGUAAGGAGGAGAUCGCCAUCUUCACCACCAGGUGCAAGGGGACGUUGGCAUCAUCACCACUGUCAUCAUCAUCAUAAUCCACAUCAAUCUUCAUCUCGUUGUAAUAUCAGAACUCUAGUGGAUCAUCAUGCGUGUUACUUGUUUGAUUCAUCCAUGUUUAUCGUGCAUAUUCUGCUUCCCCUAUGUAUGAGUAAACCCCCUAGUUCUUAGGGAUAUGGAUGAAUCUUGGUAUGUAUAGGAGCUGAAACGUUAAUAUGUGAUAUUUUCUGUUGAAUGAUUUAGUUUAAUAGACUUCGUGAAUGUUGUGAAGGCUCCUCCCUCAAAAUUAUCACCGAAAGGUCACAAAGUAUAUUACUGUCGUUUUAAGAGUUAGCGAGUGAAGGUAAUUCGAGGUGACAGCAAAAGCAUUCACCCCUAGGUUUUACAAUUGAUUAGGGAAUUACGGAGAACCUUAGUGAGGCCGCGUCCAUAGAGAGACCCUUAAUUACCGUAGUCGUAACUUGUUGGGGGAGACUACUGUAGUGGCAUGCGUGGCAUGAAGUCUACCUAGAGUAGAAUGUGCUCUGUGCCCGGCUAUGCCCGGUGUAAACGUCAAGAAUGGUGUAAGUACAUCUAGUGCCUCCUUUGUGGUUAUAGACUACUGAAGACAAAUGUGUUAAGAGACUAAUGUGUUUGUGAGUGUACAUAGGUGAAAAGUCACAGAAGAUGUUGUUUAACCAUGAAAGACGACCCCUAAAAAUGUACGUUUAGAUUGAAUAAAUUGGUGCGCCCCUUUGAAGAAAUUGACGUGACGAAUUGGAACGUGAAGAUUUUGUUCCAGUAGUUUCUUUUUUCUUAUAUUGAUUCAUAGGAAACACCAUACUGUUAAAGGGGGUCUAGGUCAUAUGUAUGCGUAUUUCCGAAGUGAUGCUCAACCUACCUAUUUCUUCGAGUGAAGACUAUGAAAAUCUCUUGAAGUGCAGUCGAGUUCCACAACAACAGAGACACAGUUCUUCUGUUCGUUGACGAAAUUGGUCUGAAGGAAGAGUUAGGAUUUCGCCGGUGUGAUUCUCCUACCGUGAGAAAUUUGAGAGUUUAAAUUUCCAACCGUUGCCGGACUAAGGCGGUUCUCGAGUCUAAGCCCGUCAUAAGUGUUGUGGCAACGGAGGUGCAAGAAGUGCUGAAGGUGGGGUACUAUCGAUGUCAUGGUGAGCGGUCUGAGGACCGGCAUGUCAUUCGCCAGUGACAAGAGUUCCGAGGUGGUGUACAAGUCAUCCUUCAUGUGUUUCUUGGUGCAGGUUCGGAGCUAGCAAAAACACAAGGAUGCUGAACAAAAGCACCCCAUCUCAUAUGAGCUGGCGCUAGUCCAGCCUCACCGUGCUGCCGCCACCACCUAUGUUAUUUGGCUUCGCAAUCCCCUCCUCCACGGAGAGAGGCAUGGGUUUACUUGGUGUGGAGUUCGACGUCACCUGCGGCGAGAGUGGAUGUCACAUAACUUUACAAGUGGGAUCCACCAAGAUACAGUGCCAUGUAGGCAAAGUUUGCGGUUACAUGCGAGAAAUGCACCAUAUUAGCCAACUGAUUGUACCAGAAAUCGAUUUCCAUCUUUUGGCAUGAAAAUGAACAUGCAAGCCAAGUUUAGGGACCACGGGUAAAUUCAUCUCUUAAAUAAUACAAAAGGCUUUUUCAUCCUCCCACAUCCUCCCUUUUACUCAUUGGAUAUCCACACACUACAGAGGAGCUUAGUAGCAGCGCUUUUUAUAAGAAAGCGCUGCUGCUAAAGAAUGGUAGCGCUUGUCACCGAAGAGCACUGCUAAUAUCCAUCUAGCAGUAACGCUUUUGUUACAAAAAACGCUACUACUAUAGUUGCCAACGGUUGCAUGGCAGUGUAGGUAUACUAGUAGCGCUCUUAAUUAAAAAGCACUACUGCUAUUGUACAUAGCAAUAGCGUUGUCCUCUGUCGAGCGCUACUGCUAUUUUUUCAGGUGUAUGUGUGGGCUGAUAUAUAACUGUACAACUUUCUCAUGUUGCGAGUGAAAGACAUUGUGAGUUUUCCAUGAUCUUGCUUAAAUACAGGUACGACUACUGAACUGAAAUUAAUCUUAUCGUGCAUAUUCACUUGCAAUUGGUAUUCGUAAAUCUACAACACAUGUCAUUAAUGCAACACAGCUUGAUCAUGGAUAUAAAAAAUGAUUAUUGUUCUUUGUAUGCACAUAUGUAUUGGUGGUUCAUCAAUGCCAUAUGCAUCUUGGCUAUAGAUAUCCAAAUUGUUAGUGUUUUAUCUCCACACAAAUAUGUUGAUCCUCCUAUUGGACAUGCUGGUCUUAGUGCCCUCUCUAUUCACAAAUAUGUUAAUGCUCAGUUUAGAUCUUCUCGUAUUAAUACACUUCUAGCUUCUAUUGGAUGGUGAAUGCAACAUUUCAUUUGUAUUAAUAUGUCUACUUGUUAUUGCGGGGAAUAUUAAUAUGUCUAAUGUAGCUUCAUUAAUGCAACUCAACUUGAUCAUGGUUUAAAUGAUCAUUGUUCAUUUUAUGCCCUUGCAAAAAAAAGAAGGGUUCAGUGUAUGUAUAGAUAUAUUGACAUGAUACAUGUUUUAGAUAACCUUGCAUUAAUAUGUCUAAUUUCCAUUUCUGUUCUCUUUCCUCGUUCUACAGAUUUCAUAUUUGUAUUCAUUUUAAGAGUUCUUCAAGAUGCACAUAAUUUAGUCACUGGUUACAAUCUAAAUGUAAGAAAGCACAUAAUCUGUAGAACGUGCAACCUAUGUGUUAUCCAUGUGAUAAAAUUAAAAUCAACAUCCUAGAUCAAAUGUCCAAGUCAACUAAAAAGAGAUUUCCUUACAAGUAAUGUCAAGCCGCAUUUUCAAAUCACAAACAGUUUUGAGCAAUGAAUGAUCUCAAAAAAAAAUCAUCCUGCCUGCCACCGUUUAUCUCUUUGGAUGUCCACAUAUUGUGUUUUUUUUAUGGUGAGCGUCUGUGCCAAUAGAUAAACUAACGAGUUUUUCAUCUUGUGAUCGAGUCAAAGAUAUUCGAUUCUGUGUUUUUCAUGAUCUUGCUUGUACGUACGACCAUGAAACUACUAUUGUUAUCGUGUAUGAAUACUUGCAACAGGGUGCUUCAGCGCCAGCACCGACCAUGGAUGCACAUGAGUAUGCAUGGAUGCGUGCAUGUAACGACCUGAUCGCUCCUGCAGGUGAAAGUACAUGUUUCUCUUAGGUCUGUGCACCAUCAAGGCCUUGAACAGUUCCUUCAUGAGUGUCAAGUGAGACUUCAUGUCUCUAUGGUGAACAGACAAACUUCAGCGGAUAUGUUGCUCUCAUGGCACGGCAAAGACAAGAACAAUAGAUGGACUCUUGCCACUAGUAGUAUUGAUCCACGCUUGACACAUGACUACUCAUGGAGAAGACCCAUUCCUUUAUAACAUUUCCCUUUUAUUCAGUCUGUUUUGGUGAAUCAGCAGUUAGAAGAACUUCUUCUUCUGUUAAAAAUAGGUUUUCUAACCCAAAUUAAAGUUAGAUUUCACAAGGAGUGAACCAGUGACAUUGUUGUAUCCCCUUGAAGCAGAGAAGACAUGGGUGCGACAAUCAUAUUUCCAAUCAUCCAGCUGGUCUUUUACAAGUAUCCCUUCUUGAAUACUCGGUUCAAUAAAUAAGUUGUUCACACUUCACAGCCAUCCAUGUGCAUAUAUAGUAAGUUAAUAACACAAAAUCCGAGUAAAUUUAUGCGACAAUAAGGUUUAUUAUUGUUAUUUCAAAUAACUGAUGCGACAACAAAUAAUAUUAAUCACGGACAUCAUAUGAUAUUAGUAAGGUGUUGUUGAGGAUGAGAAGCAUGUACAACUCCUCGUUUUCUCUGAUGAGCGCCUCCGCACCAGGCAUAUCUGGAAGCUCUAACCAACACAUGAUGAUAGGGUUGUAAUUAAUAUCCACACAGUCGGGCAGAUGCAAGAACUGCUGCCCACUCUUGUCACCUUGGUAGUCCUUGAUCAGGCCGUGGCACACGUUGAGGCGUCUCACCACACCUUCAUACUCCACCUCACAAUAACUGAGAACAUGCAUUGCCACUGUUCCCUUCUUGGCAUCUUGCAGCUUUUGCUUGAUCUUACGACUAGCGGCAGUGACACGGCUCUUAAAGAUGUCGACAGUGACAAGCACUAAGUCACGGAGGUCCUUAGCCUCAGCACUUCGAUUGUCCGACUGAAGGGUGGACAAGCAGAAUUCUUGCGUGAUAGAUUUGUUGUAGGGGUUGUUGAUCGAGGCCUUCUUGCAUGUUUCCACCAUGAGCUUGGUCGCCUUGGGCUUGCCAGUGUCAGAGCCACUAGCAUGAGCGGAAAAAAGGAAGAAGAUGAUGGUGGAGAGGACGAUGGUAGUCCUUGGCAUUGCUACCAUUACUACAGGGCUAGCUAGAAGCCUUGAAGUACUGAAGCGCUGAGAGGGAGGUGGAGAAAAAUAGACAGAGAAGGAUGUGUAUUGCAGAGAUGGAUGGGUGGAUGGAGGUGAUGUACAUGAGGCUGAGAAUUCUUUAUAAUGCCUGCAAUGGGGUAUCAUAAAUGCAGUAUGCAGCUUUGGUCCAGAAUAUGUGUACUAUCGGUGUCCAGUAAAUGUUGAAUGCCCAUUUUGGAUCCCUACAUAUUAAUGCUCUCUCUAUGUUCCACAAAUACACAGAUGCUCACUAUAGAUCGUGUUGUAGUAACACAUAUCUUACUUAUAUGAAUCCAUUAAUGCAACGUAGCUUGAUCAAGGAUAUCCCAAAUGAUUAGUGUGCACCGAAUGCCCAUAGAUAUGUUGAUGCUCAUUUUGGUACGUCUUAUUUGCAUUGGUGUUUUCUAAACAUCAUUUUGUAUAACUGAUUUGUUACUUCUACCUCCCUUUGGGGGACGAUUAUAUUUUCCCUCAUCAAGUCUAUAAUUGCUCAUUUUUUCUUUGCAAUUUUCGAGUAGUUACAAAUAAUUCUCAGGGAGCAGGCACUUAGUUAACUUGGUGACACAAUAAAUAUUUUUGUUAAAAUAUCAAAAUUUUAUAUUUUAAAUUUUUUUAUUUCCAAGUCGAUUAUUGUCUGAUGGGUUGACUUUUACAACAGUUGUAUUCCCCCAGUUAAAAAUCACAACUUAUUUUAGGGAUUAAAUGAUGCCAGCCGGACUAACGUAUCGUUCGUAGGCACUGUCAAAAAAUAAGCAUGUUUACUGCCCACCGCCUAAGAAAAUCAAAACAAAAAUUACCAAUACCAACACGUCACAGUAUGGGUUUAUUCGGUUUCGAUUCUCGUUACUACGUAGUAGGAAGGAAAAAAAAGAGCUAGCGAUCAUAAGGAGGUAACCUGUAUCAUAGGUACAUGAUGCGCACGUACACGCCGGUAUCUUAUAUUUUAUAUUUUAUAUCUUAUAUUUACUAAUUGGAAGCACCUUUCAAGUCUUCUCAUUAAUCAACAUUAUAAAAAUUAAAUACACCGUUGUAGUAUAGAAUUUACGUCUAAGAUGAAAGGAGAACUUACGUAACAUAAACUUGGAAGGGAAAAAGAUAUAGGGAAAGGAGAAUAAAAAUAGAAGUAAAACAAAGAAAAUAAUUUAGAUGGGCCAGCCCAUUAUUGUUUGCCUUGUGCGAAAUUCUGACUAUUUAUGGCGCUGUGCGGAAAAUAGAGUUUUUCCAGCUGCAUGGGCAGAAAAAUAAGUGGGCUGGCUUUGCUGGGCCACCGCGCGUGGCCCACGUACAACAAUUCUUUUUCUAGCAAACAAACGCAUAAGACCUUUGUACCACCUCGGGUAGAAAGAUUGUUUUUUCGACGGUGAACGGAUGAAAAUAUAGGCAAAACGCACCUUGCUUCAUUAGUAGUAGCACAUAUGCCCGUGCAUUGCAACGGGAGAGAUGUUUCUUUGGAGAAGCAAUGGGAGAGAUAAUUGAUGUCUCCACCAAAAAUGAUCUCCAUAACGGUGCGGUUAGUCGGCAUAGCGGCAACCAUACAACUCGUGCAUUUUUUUCCUUUGGGUCAGUCUCUGUCUCGGGGUUGUGUCUGCCUCUACGUUUGGUAGCUAUGCGGCGACCUUUAGAGCACGGUUGCUUCGACCACUCUCUCUUACGAUGGCGUAACCGGAUGAAUUACUAAUUGUAGCGCUUAAAUCCUGUUUCAUUAGCAUAUAUAUUUAGCGCAUAACCAGAUAUCAAUGUCCCUUCUUUAUUAGGGUUUAUUUUCUUUGAUUAUUUUAGGGCUCACGUGCCCACAACUAUUUUAUUCGAGCCAAACCAACAUAUUCUCUUUUAUUGGACCAAGAAAAAAUUGCUCCCUCAGACGACCCAGUAGGGAGUGUGGUUGAGGCCCAAUACAGCCUAUGCGUCGGAGCAAUGUUUUUCUUGGGCCAAGUAUGUGGGGGCUACUAUAUGACGCUAGUUGCGUAAAAUAACGUGUGAGAUGCACAUCAGUUCGUGUAUGGACCAACACACUGGUAGGCGCCAAGACGACCUAUGUUAGGAAGGCACGGAAAAAUCCAAAAAAUAAUGAGUUGAAGGAUCAAAAUCAUGUCCUGAAAGACCCGACUACGUGCUCAUAGCCACUCGAAGAAACGAGUCCUACCAACCAAUGGCCAGCUCAAACCUUUAAUAUCAUACUCCAAUGUGAGAUUGGAUACAAUUUUUUUAACUGUUUAAAACAUAUAAAUUGCUGAAUAUUCCUGAAAACAUGAAUAAUUUUUAAAAUCAUAAACACUUUUUGAAAUUCUUUACAUUUUCAGAAAUACACAACAAAAUUGGAAACCCUCAAAAUUCACAAAUUUAUUUGAAAUCAUAAACCUUUUAUAAUAACGUGAACACGUUUUGAAAAUGCGAUUUCGUUUGAAAAAGAAACAUAUUUUGAACAUUCAAAACAAUUUUUGAAAAUGUGUUUCUAUAAACUUGGACAUUACUUUGAAUUUGCGAACACUUCACUAAAACAAAAAUAUUUUUCAUAUUUGGAACAUUUUCUAAAUGCAUUUUUUUUGGGAAAAUCUCAAACAACUUUGGAAAACACAAAGAAAAAAUGGAACAUUUUUUGAAACCUGAACAAAUUUUGGAAUGAGAACAAAGCACUACUGGGAAGAGGCUAAUUAGUGGCGUACAUAUUUUUGCUAUUAAUGACGCACUAUAGGUGCGCCACUAUUACCACGCCACUAGUAACAAAUAGUAAUAGCGCACCAUUACUAUCACAGAUAGUAAUGGCGCACCUAUAGUGCGCCAUUACUAUGCCUAGAAGGUGCGCCAUUACUAUCUGACUUAGUAAUGGCGCACCACAUAGAAGUGCGUCAUUACUAACAAAAUUUUUUCAUAAAAAAAAUUUCUAAAUUUUUUUCAUAUAUUUUUUCCCUUUUUUUCUUAAUCUCAGGUCAAUAUGCUUAAUCUCAAGUCAAAUCGCACUCCGUGGUCAAACUUGCCGGAAGGUCACCCAUCCUCACACUACUCCGGCCCGAGCACGCUUAACUUCGCAGUUCUAUCCAACCCCAGCACCAGCUUACUUAACAUGCACUUGUUGAUAUAUAUCUAUCAUAUCGAUCCUAUUAAACCUUGUUGAUGUCUAGAACUUUAUUCAUGUUCAUGAGUGUGAUGAAAUUUCAAACUUCCCGGUCCUAUUACGUAUCAUAUUUUGAAAAAAAAUUGAAACCAAUUUUUUUUCUGUUACUAGUGGCGCACCUAGCAAAUGGUGCGCCACUAGCAAGUUUGAUUUUUUUUCUUUUCCCCACUCUAGAUCUUAAAAGCCUCGUAUCUUUCAUUCUGUUAGGUUUUUCGGGAUUCUGAAAAUCUUGUAACUUUUUGAGUAGAUGCUUUUUCAUAUAUAAAACUUUUUAAUCCGAGUUCGUAUGUAAAAGUUAUGCCCAUUUUACUAAAUUCCAGAGAGAUUUUUUAAAUAAAGUCGAAAUUCAUAUUUGUAAAUUUUCCAACAACUAGACCACAUAUCACAUGGGAAAUUUAUUUCCUUUUUUUUUUGACAUUUCCAUCAUUUUCUUUUAUUUUUUCUAAAACUGAAACGGCGGUCCAGAGGGGUGGGGGUGCAAAGAAAGUAAGUAAUGACACACCUUCACAAAGUGCACCAUUAUUAUGUGUAUGACUUGGUCAAACCUUGGUCAAAGAUAGUAAUGGCACACUUUGUGUAGGUGCGUCAUUACUAAGUUUGACAUAGUAAUGGCGCACCUAUGCAAAGUGCGUCAUUACUAAGUUUGAUCAAGGUUUGACCCAGUCAUACACAUAGUAAUGAUGCACUUUGUACAGGUGCGCCAUUACUAUGUCAACUAGUAAUGACGCACUAUCCUCUAGUGCGCCACUGCUAACAAUUUUUUUAUUUUUUUCUUCAAAACUAGUACUAGCGCACCACACACCAGGUGCACCACUAGUAAUAUAUCAAUAAUGACGCACCUGUAUCUGGUGCGCCACUGCAUACAUGGUGCGCCAUUAAUGUCCAAAUUAGCUAUAGCCCUUUUCCUAAUAGUGAAGAUUUAAUGUUCUGAACAUUUUUUGAAAAGGAAUAUAUAUUAAAAUCCCAAACAUUUAAAAAAACGGAUUUGUGUGAUAUUAUGAGUUUUAUUGAAAAUUUUGGUUUUAUGAAUAAAGGGGAGAUAGAGAAAUAAACUUGAAAGGAAAAAAGAAAAAAGAAAAGGAAAGAAAAUAGAAACCAAUGGAGAAAGAAAAGUAGAAACAUAACAUAGAACAAAAAGAAAUGGUUCAACCAAGCUCGAGCGCCUUAUGCGAAUUUGUGACUAUUUUGGAAUGAGAACAAAUAUUUAUAUUAUAAACUUUUUCAAAAAAGAAUAUAUUUAAAGUUCUGAACAUUUUUUUAGAAAAUUGAUUCUUAUGAUAUUAUGAAUGUUUUGAAAAUUUUGAAUUUACAAAAAAAUGGGAGAAAAAUAAACUUGAAAGGAGAAAACACCAAAGAAAAAGUGAAAGAAAUGGAAAAAGAAAAAUAGAAACAUAUUUUAAAGUUCUGAGCAUUUAAAAAAGUCGAUUUUUUAUGAUAUUAUGUAGUUUUUUGACAAUUUUGAAUUUACGAAAAAAGGAGAAAAAGGUAAACUCGAAAGGGAAAAAGACCAAACAAAAGGAGAAAGAAACGGAAAAAGAAAAACAGAAACAUAACACAAAACAAAAAAAGAAUAUAUUUCAGCCCAGCUUGGGCGCCCAGUGCGAAUUUACGACUAUGUAACGCUAAUUGCGAUAAAUAGGGUUUUUCCACCUGCAUGUACACAAAAAUAACUGGGCUGGAUUUCGUGGGCCAAUACUGUGGGCGGCCCAUGUACGAGAUCUGGCGUUUUUCUUUUCUAAUAGACAAACGGACAAAAAAAUUGUACCACCUCGAAUAGAAAAAAAAUCUUUUCAUUGGUGAACGGAUGAAAAAAUCAGAGAAACACACCUUGCUUUAUUAGUAGGUAUAGAGGUAUAGAUAUAGAUAUAGAUAUAGAUAUAGAUAUAGAUAUAGAUAGUAUGGAUAGAAAAAUGAAAUUUUCCAUCCAUGCUAAUCAUAACAUAAAUUGUUUAAGAAUUCGUUGGUACACAUAAAAACAUCUAAUGUGAAUAAUCUAUGGUUCUUAUAGUAUUUGCUAGGAUAUCAUGUAUGUUAACGGAAAGUCAUGCAUGCAUGUGUCCAUUAUUGUGUAUAGAAACAAAGUAUUUAUAAUUCUACCAUUCUUUCGUGGCAAAAACAAGCAUGUAUUCCUUCUUUUAGGUUAACUAAGAAAGGCUACAAUAGAACACUCGACCUUUGUGCCUUUUAGAAACUUCUAGAUCACGAGUGCAUGAUGCACACAAUAACUUUUGCGUUUGUAACCAUGUUUUCUACCAACAUAAAAAAUAUACCCUUAUAUAACCUUCAUAAAGUAGCACAUUCUUAUUUCCACAUAUCUUCUAUAAAUUUGACGUGAUUUUCCAUCACACAGCGAUAUUUUUAUACUUUCGUCACAAAAUUGGACAUAAACAAUCAAUCACAAAAUAGUCAAAGAAAUGUAACUUCAUUGGAUCCAAUGUGCAUGUGUAAUAAUAAUAACCUAUAUCCAAAUGAUUGUUUGAUAUUUAUAAUUUGUCAAAAAUAUGUUAUAUCUGAUAUUACAAUUGCUAGCCCGUGCAGGUGCACGGAUUGACGACUAGUGAUAUGUAGAUAGAAUUAAUUAUGAUUACCAUUCAAUAAUUUUUCUUUAUGGAUAUCCAAAUUUAUGUUUAGAAUCAACAUUUCUACAUCAAUUUUUUCCGGGGAUUUUUUUUACUUAGUAAACAUAUGGAUAUUUAGAAAAAAUUUGUGCUAAUUGUGUGCUCUCCUUAGCCUAUGUUACAAUGCAUGGUUUUCUCGGUUAUUUUAGAAAAUGCAUGUAUUUCUCUAUUGCCAACUUCUCACAGAUGCAGUUAAGUUUCGUAAAAGUUUAGAAUGGCAGCCAACACGAAAAAGGAUAAAAGUAUCAUCAUUUGCACAUUUUUUCACCUUCUUCACUAUCUAUAUUUAUAAGGAUAUUCACUUUGCGAUUUAUGUUUUCCCAAUUUGCUACAAAAGCGCAGAACGAACAUUUUAGAAAAUAAAUGCAAAAUGUGUAAAAUAAAAUGUGUAGGUACAUAAUUAAAAAUCUUGGACGACGAUAACUGCCACACGUGUGGCAUCUAGGGGGUAUGUGCCGCACGCCCCGUGUGGCAUCGACACAGGCCCGCCCGCACGAGCACGUCCGCGCGCACCCCACCACAGCCCGCACGUUCGGUGUGUGGCGCAAUCGCCCGCACUAGCACGUCCGGGCGAGCGACCUCACGGCCCGCACGACCCGUCUCGGCCCUCGCCCCUCCCCGCCUGCGAGCCACACGCCCCGCGUGGCAGUAACCACGCGUCCCGCCGUGAUUGCCAUGGUCCGAACCCUCUUCCAUGUUCGUUUAACUGUAGUUGCCAUGUUGCUGAACUGCAGUUGCCAUGUCUGACAACUACAGUUGCCAUGGUUGCUCAACUGCAGUUGCCAUCUCAGGUCAAGUGUCGGAUGCCAUUUUUGGGCAACUGUAGUUGUUGCCAUGUAUGAUCUGGUCUACUAUAGAUGCCAUGAUUUGAAAACUUUAGGAUUUGCCGCCUACUAACACUAGACAGUUGCCAUGUAGCACUACAAAAACAUGGCAAAAAACAUGUUCGGGUAAAAGAGAGAGUUGCCAUCUGCUUACAAGCACACUAGGGCAGUUACCAUGUACCCUGCAAAAACACAUGGCAAUUGAUAGCUUUUGGUGUGUGGGAGAGGAGACGGGCAUGUGGGCGACGGUGGUAUCUUUAGGAGUUGCCACCUACUAACACUAGACAGUUGCCAUGUAGCGCUACAAAACAGACGUGUCAACAAUAACAUGUUCGGGGUAAAGAGAGUUGCCAUCUGCUUAUAAUCACAAAUAGGGCAGUUGCCACGUACUAGCACUGGACAGUUGCCAUUUAGCGCUACAAAAACAGACGUGGCAACAAUAACAUGUUCAGGGUAAAGAGAGUUGCCAUCUGCUUACAAUCACAAAUAGGGCAGUUGUCAUGUACCUUGCAGAAAACAUGGCAAAUGACAACUUGGUUUGGGAGAGUGGGAAAAAGGGCAGUCAUGGGAGAUGGGGAACAGAAGUCGUGCGCGGCGUGCGGGCGCGACAGCAGUUCCACCGCACGCCCCGACUCGCAACCGGUCUCGUCCGAGGGAGAAACAGCAUGCGGGCGAACUACCUACACACCACACACCGGGCUUGUCCUACGUGGCACACCAAAUCCAUCUUUUGGUGUCAGGAUUCGUGCAAAAAAUAACCAACGACAAUCCAGGCGUGUGGGCGAGUUGAAGACGUUCCACGCGUGUGGGCGUUAAUGUUUCCGAAAAUCUUAUAUCUCCGUCUCAAACAAAAAAAAGCCUCCUUCCAUAAGAAACAGCUCAUACGUGAAACUCUUCUCGCCUAUUAAAAAAAAGGAAAAGCAUCCCUCCCCCAAAAAAAGAGAAAACGUCUCCACUAGCUCCUGUACUUUUUUUAGGCAACCACGUCUCCUCUAUAUGGUCAGAUCUUUCAAGACUUCUUACUAAUCAGAACCACUACGUUGUAAAUUUAUAUCCAAUAAAGAAAACUUGCCGAAUCAUAGAUGGUCUCGUCCAAAAAAAAUGUCAUGUGAUACGUCCAACGUUGUCAAAAAAACAUUCUCCGUUCCUUAAAGAGAAAAGAUAGCGUCCUUAGAAAAGCACUACCAAUAAAAGGAAAAGAAAGACGGAAUCCAAUUGAUGACCGAUGAAACUCCAUAAAUAAAAUCUUCUGUCAAUCGAUUUUAAAAGAAGAAACAUCUGGCUCAGUUCCUCUACAUGGCCGCAUACUCCACUUCCUCUUCAAUCCUGCUCUCCUACAUGUGGCUGGUGGUGGCGAUUUCUCUAACCGAAGGAUAUACCCAACUCGCCAUCACCAUCAAGUGCGCUCUCCCACCAGCAGGGCCAACAACAAACUGCAAAGAAACCUGACGACAGGUGCUGCGAGGUAUGAUGCAAGAUCGACUGCGACCCCAAGCGGCAAUCGAUCUUCCUCAUUGUUAUUGUCACCGCGUCUCCUUCCAUCCACCCCGGGCAUCAAAGUUCACCCUAUUUUAUGAUAAUAAAAAAGUCCAACUACCAAGUACAACCUCUAAUAAGUUCUUCUUGGAUUCAUGCUCCGACAAGACUAUGAUCCAACUAUGAUAAUAAUGGAUUAAGGCACGGAUUGCUAACACUUAUCUGCAUAUAUAGUACGUAUGCAUGUCUUUAUUUUGGUCUUAGAAAAAAGAGAAAAUUAGCUAUUAAAGCAUCUUUAAAUACAUACAAAUUACCGAAGUAACAAGAAAAUAUGGAUGUACCAUGCGCCACGAAGAUCUAAUAGACACACGAUUAUCUAUGUGGUAUAGGUAUGUAUACAGUAUGGAUAGAAAAUAUAAAAAAAUGACAUCCGUAUUAAAAAUAUAAGAAAUUCUUUAAGAAUUUGUUUGUUGAGACUAGAACUUAAAACCGGAAUAAUCUAUGGUGCUUAUAGUAAUGAGAAUAUACUACAAACUUUUGUUUGCCAUCACACAAUGACAAUAUUAAUAAGGUUGUCACACAAUUGGAGGCAAACAAUCAAAUAACAAAAUAGUCCGAAGCAAUGUAACACUGUUGAACCUUAUGUCUAACAAAGAUAAACAUGCAUGUGUGACAACAAUAACCCAUAUCAACAUAUUAUUAUUGUCUGACAUUUCUAAUUUGUAACAACUUUGUUGUAUGCAAUAUUAAAAGUGCUAGCCCGUGCAUGUGCACGGGUUGAUGACUAGUAUAGUAUAACUCUGAGACAUGCCUAUAUAACCUCUUAUUUGCAUACGUUCUUUUAAAACAUAGCAUAGACAAACCACAUUACAUUAUAAUAAUGAAUUUGUUUUUUCUCGGUGACAGGGUAACUGUUAUUUCUAUGUCGACCAGUUGUAGCUUGAAAGAAAGUGUUAUAAAACAAUUAUGUUACUCCCUCCUCCAUAAUCUAGUGCGUAUAGAUUUUUUCUAAAAGUCAAACUUUCCAAACUUUGACCAAGUUUAUUGCAAAAACAAAUUAUAUCUACAAUAGCAAAUAUAUUUAACAUGAAACUACAUCUUAUGGUGAAUCUAAUGAUACACAUUUGUCAUUCUAGAUGUAAAUGUCUUUCUUCACAAAUUUGGUCAAACUUUGUGAGGUUUGACUUUUCAAAUAAAUUAUAUUCACUAUACUACGGAACGGGGGUAGUAUAUUUUAGGUAUAGAAGUUUUCAACACACAUUUUCACAAAUUCUAAGAUUAAAAUUGCAUAUUAUUUGUUAAAAAAUUAACUAUCUAAUUCUCGUUCAACAAAGAAUCAAUAGUCUAGGAAAAUGCGAGCACCAUUGUCAAGUCUAGGACAUGAAGCCUGAAGGGCUGCGGAUACCAUUGUCCUCCUUACCAUUCAACCAGAGGUUGGUUCACGUUGGCUCUCACAUGUUGACGGUCGUGUGCAUCGGUAUGAAGUUUUAUUUCGGACAAAUUUCCUAUGACAGGCCGGCUACUAGAAUUAUCGUUACCCUAGAAAAUGUUGCCAUGGUUCAAAUAAAUCAAAUUCAAAUAAUCCAAAUUUCAAGUAAGAUAUAGAUGAUAUUAUUGACACAAAGAUGGUCAUGGCCUCUUGGCUACACAUGAUUGUUUGCUAGAGAGGGUCGAGGAAUUGAAUUCCGUUUUCCCACCAAUUUUUUUGCGAUGUUACUUUGGCUGCCCAUCGGAUCUUCGCGCUUGAAAAGACUGCAUCCAUAGAGGUAAUGGGAGAGAUAAAUAACUUCAAAACAUCAGAAGAACACAAUGACAACAACAGAAUUUCAGGAGCCAUUUUAAAGAUAUGUUCCACAGGGAGGGACCGAUGGCAUCAUUUUUAGCCUUUGAAGCAAAAAAGACGGAUGACCCCAAACAAGUCUCCAAUUAUCCUAGAAAAAUAAAGAAUUUAUUCAAAACCAUGCAUAUUAAUAUAUCAACAGACAAAAUCAGAGUAAAAUCAAUGCCAUGAUAACUUUAUUAUUAUUAAGAGUACAAUUAAUUUCACAUCAACAUAUUUUCUUAGAAAAAAACAAACAUUAUAUAGUCGAGAAACAUCACAUCUGGUGCUACCAAGGCAGUGUUCAAUUUAACCAGCAUGCCCAGUUCACUGUUUCCAUUGACCAGAGCCCCCACUCCACGCAUAUCGACAAGCUCGGAGUCGCACUCAUCGACAUAAUCAUAUGCCAUAUCCACACAACUGGCGAGCUCAUUGGACCGUAGCCCGUCCUCGUCGCCUUGGUAAUCCUUGAUCAUGGGAUCACAUAUGUUGAGGACGCUCAACACAGAGUCAUAUAAUCCACCUCACACAAACUAAGGUCAACUCCACCGUGUGACUUCAAAUGGACGUCCGUUUUACCCGGAUUCUGUCCGUUUGGAUAGGGCAAUGGGGUCGCGUCCGGGCGGGAUGCGCUGGCCGUUCGCCCAACACGCGGACGCAUCCCGGCCGCAUCUUGUCCGCAUAGAUUUUUCUUUGUAAGCCCUUAACUUUUUUUCAUCAUUCAUUUUUGAUACAUGGAAUACAUCACCAAAUUUUGAAUAGAAAAAUAAGACCAAAAAAAUAAGAACCACAAAAAUACAUUUUAGAAGAUAUUUAACUUCCAUAACUGCUCCUGUAAGUUGGAUUAGUGCCUUCUCGAUGCAUUCAUUGUUUAUCUGCAGAGGAGGCUCGAUCUUGCGUGCUUCUUUCUUCUUCGAGUCUAAAGAAGUAGAGGUUGCUUUCUCGCAUCUAGUCUCAUGUCUAGCCUCUAAUCUAGCAACAAGUGCACUAGUCUCAUCUCUAGCCUCUAUGCUAGCUAAAAGUGCACGAACAUCUAAUAAAUUGCGCUCUAACAAUAUAUCGAUGUACUCUUCUUCCCAAUACCAAAACUUGCAUCCAUGCUACACAAUAAAAUUUUAAGUUAGCACGCAACUAGUCAAAUCUAAGAGCACAACCGAACCUAAAAAGAGCACAUACCCCAUCAUUUAAGCAUUUGAUGAACACCCAUCCUGAAUGUUCCGGCGUUGUAGACAUGCGGCCAACGACCUUCUUUGGGCGGUGGUCGCACUUAAUUAGUGGCAACGGUGCACCGACGAGCUUUUUGGCUAGCACCGAGCCCGGCCGAGCGUCAUAAGUGUAUCUGACGGCAGACCACCAACGGUGUAGAUCCGAGUGGCUAGAGGAGGAGCCACUGCCUGCAUGCGGCCUUGCGGCCCUGCCAGGGCCUUCCGGCCCAGUGCCCAGCCAGUCCAUGGCGCGGCGCGGCCUCCCACAGCCGGGCGAGCUCGAGGCUGACCGGAUCUGCCCCAAAUCCGGCCGGCGGGUGCGCAAAUCAGGUGGCCGUGAUUGGGUAGCUCGGGGGCGCCGAGGGGAAGGGGUUGGGCGAGCGCGCGUCCAAGCUGCACAGCUACAAUGGCAGCGGCGGCGGCGAGGGGAAGAGUGGGGAAAAGUGGAGAAGAGUGGAGGGGGUGCGGCUGGAGGAAGGGAGGGGGGCAGAUAGAAAAAGGUGUCCUUGUGCCAUCAACGGGCGGGCCAGGGAAGGACACGCGCAGACGCCCCGCCCGUCCGCGUGCUGUCCCUUUCACCCCAAAAGCGGCGCAAAUAUGGGCCGGGGAUGGGUCGAAAGCGGACAGAAAACGGAUAAAAAUUUUGCGUCCGCGGUUGGGCCGUCUGGUUCGUCCGUUUUAUCUCAAACGGACGCAUGCGGACAGGAGGGGGGCGCGUGGUGGAGUUAGCAUAAGGACACGCAUUGGCACCGUGCCUUCUUGCUUCAUGUGUUUGUUGUCUUCGCACAGGAGCUCUAGCACAGACGUUCUUAGGGUCAACCUCUGUCAACACAUGGGGUGGCCUGUUCGGCACGCCUGUGUAAAAAAUCAUGACACAGGCAUGAGGUAAUAGUUAGGGGUCUACUCCCUAAUAGUAUAUAGGACAAAGAUCAAUGGAACGCUCAUUGUUGUGGGCAGCGAGUUGCCAGAAACAUUUCUUCCUGCUCUGCUCUGCUCGCUCCUCCUCCAGGCGACAGACUCCUCUUCCCGGGAACGCACCCACAGUCGCCGGUGAAAGAUCCGAUAACAAGCGUGACAUCAUAUUCCACCAUGGCGUGGGUGCCGAGCAUAGUGCCCAUCGCAAGGCUAGCCUUCACCGCGCUCGUCGGCGUCGCCAACGCCGUGCUCAAUGCCAGCAUGAUGGCUGCCGCGUUUCACAUUCACCGUGCUGCCUUCCAGGUGUUUGAUUAAAUGAGCGAACCAAAUAUAUGUUAUAGGGAAUUAAAUUAUAGUUGUUCUUCUUUUUUAGCCCUAACAGUAGAACAAUCGUUAUACAAUAUUUUCAUUAAUAAAGAAAAGUUACAAAAUACAAAUAUUAACAAUGUAUAGACCUCUCAGCCUAUCCCUGUUCUAGGAAUUGGAAGUCAUGCCAUUAUAAAACCAAGUCAGACCAUUGUUUUAUCUUGCUUGCCUUUUCUUCUUUUGCCCGGAGUUGAACAGCCCAUAGUCCUUCCUCCAAAUAAAAUUUCCAUGUAUCUGUACUAGAAGGUGCUGAUUUGAAGAUGUUAUCAUUUCUCACUGACCAGAUGCUCCAACAACUCAUAAUGAUGAUGUCAAGUGCAAAGUCUUUAGGUAACUGAUUGGCAAUGAGAAGGAAUUCAUCAAAAGUAGAGAUGCCUCUGGUUCUUCCUAGUGCUAUAAUAUCCCAACAUGAGAGUGCAAAUGGGCAAUUCCAGAACAAAUGGAUCAAAGUUUCAUCCACAGCAUCACACUACUAAGGAAAACUUUAUACACAGAGAUAUAGAAGUAGCGCUGGACAAAAUGAAGCGCUACUGCUACUUAGUAGUAGCGCGUUGCGGUAAAAGGCGCUACUGCUAUCCUUUUAGCAGUAGCGCGUGUUAGCAAAACGCGUUGCUGCUAAGUUUGAACUGGGCGCACAUGGCUGGCCCCACUUAGCAGCAGUGCGUUAUGCAUACCUAGUGCUACUGCUAUGCUCCAUACUAGUAGUGUUUUUCAUGAACCCGCGCUACUACUAACCCUACCUUAUCGUUCCCGCGUGGCCGACCCUCUCCCUCUCCCUCUCAGUCACUCUCCCCAGCACCCCCCCCUCAUUGUCCGCCACCGCCGCCGUUCCCCAGCCACCGUCGUCGCCGCCGGCACGGACGCUCCUACUCCUCCAAUGAGGUAGCCCCUCCAUCCCUCCUCCUCCCUCCUCCCAUCCCUCCUCCUCCCUCCGCGCCCUCCUCCCUCCGCGCCCUCCUCCCUCCUCCUNNNNNNNNNNNNNNNNNNNNNNNNNNNNNNNNNNNNNNNNNNNNNNNNNNNNNNNNNNNNNNNNNNNNNNNNNNNNNNNNNNNNNNNNNNNNNNNNNNNNNNNNNNNNNNNNNNNNNNNNNNNNNNNNNNNNNNNNNNNNNNNNNNNNNNNNNNNNNNNNNNNNNNNNNNNNNNNNNNNNNNNNNNNNNNNNNNNNNNNNNNNNNNNNNNNNNNNNNNNNNNNNNNNNNNNNNNNNNNNNNNNNNNNNNNNNNNNNNNNNNNNNNNNNNNNNNNNNNNNNNNNNNNNNNNNNNNNNNNNNNNNNNNNNNNNNNNNNNNNNNNNNNNNNNNNNNNNNNNNNNNNNNNNNNNNNNNNNNNNNNNNNNNNNNNNNNNNNNNNNNNNNNNNNNNNNNNNNNNNNNNNNNNNNNNNNNNNNNNNNNNNNNNNNNNNNNNNNNNNNNNNNNNNNNNNNNNNNNNNNNNNNNNNNNNUCUGAUCCCACCGCCCUCCUCCUCCUCCUCCCUCCUCCCUCCUCUCUCCUCCCUCCUCCCUCCAUCUAUUUUUUUUUCUGUUUUUUACUGUAGUUUUUUUUACUAUUGUAUGUAUAGAUAUAUUGAUACAUGUUUUAGAUAACCUUGCAUUAAUAUGUCUAACUUCCAUUUCUGUUCUCUUCUCUCGUUCUACAGAUUUCAUAUUUGUAUUCAUUUUAAGAAUUCUUCAAGAUGCACAUAAUUUAGUCUCUGGUUACAAUCUAAAUGUAAGAAAGCACAUGAUCUGUAGAAGGUGCAACCAAUGUGUUAUCCAUGUGAUAAAAUUAAACUCAACAUGCUAGAUCAAAUAUCCAAGUCAACUAGAAAAGAGAUUUCCUUACAACUAUUGUCAAGCCGCAUUUUCAAAUCACAGACAGUUUUAAGCAAUGAAUGAUCUAAAAAAAUCAUCCUACCUGCCACCGUUUUUCUCUUUGGAUGUCCACAUAUUGUUUUUUUUUCAUGGUGAGCGUUUGUGCCAAUAGAUAAACUAACGAGUUUUUCAUCUUGUGGUCGAAUCAAAGAUAUUCGAUUCUGUGUUUUUCAUGAUCUUGCUUGUACGUACGACCAUGAAACUACUAUUGUUAUCAUGUAUGAAUACUUGCAAAAGGGUGCUUCAGCGCCAGCACCGACCAUGGAUGGACAUGAGUAUGCAUGGAUGCGUGCAUGUAACGACCUGUUGGCUCCUGCAGGUCAAAGUACAUGGUUCUCUUAGGUCUUUGCACCAUCAAGGCCUUGAACAGUUCCUUGAUGAGUGUCAAGGUGAGACUUCAUGUCUCUAUGGUGAACAGACAAACUUCAGCGGAUAUGUUGCUGUCAUGGCACGGCAAAGAACAGAACAAUAGAUGGACUCUUGCCACUAGUAGUAUUGAUCCACGCUUGACACAUGACUACUCAUGGAGAAGACCCAUUCCUUUAUAACAUUUCCCUUUUAUUCAGUCUGUUUUGGUGAAUCAGCUGUCAGAAGAACUUCUUCUUCUUGUUCUUCUAUUAAAAAUAGGUUUUUAACCCAAAUUAAAGUUAGAUUUCACAAGGAGUGAACCAGUGGCAUUGUUGUAUCCCCUUGAAGCAGAGAAGACAAGUGAGCGACAAUCAUAUUUCCAAUUAUCCAGCUGGUCUUUUACAAGUACUAGAAGAACGCCCGUGUGUUGCAAAGGGGUCACAUUACCUUUAAGAGUUCAAUAUUAAUAUUCUCAUACAUAUCAAGUGACAUUGGCGACUUUUUUUACCAUCAAAUCCUCACACACACACACUCUCUCCCUCCCUCUUCCUCACUCUCUCCCCCCCCCCCUCUCCCUCUAUCUCUCUCUAACNNNNNNNNNNNNNNNNNNNNNNNNNNNNNNNNNNNNNNNNNNNNNNNNNNNNNNNNNNNNNNNNNNNNNNNNNNNNNNNNNNNNNNNNNNNNNNNNNNNNNNNNNNNNNNNNNNNNNNNNNNNNNNNNNNNNNNNNNNNNNNNNNNNNNNNNNNNNNNNNNNNNNNNNNNNNNNNCACAUACACACACACAUAUUCAUCUUAUUGGGUACGGGACCAUAAUCCAUCUAUUUCACACACACACACACACGAUAGUGCAUAACUAUAUGGAUGUGUAUUAUAUUUGCCAUCACAACUGAGGGAAUUAAUUUCAUGUAAAUCGACCAGCCACAGCUCCAAGAAUACGCGGAGGAGGUGGCCCGGGUCGGCAUCGGCGGAUGUCCGGCACGGGCCACGGGCCCGCUUCCAUGCGCGUCUGUGCGCCGGCCACCCACGCCGGGUCCUUCAAGUGCCGCUUCCACCGCACCAAUUCCUAGGGCCACGGCCACGACCACGGACAGGGAAGCCGCCCUUCUUUGCCCCCUUCACCGGCCGCGGCGAACGCGGUGCCGCGGCAUCCGACCUCGCCGUCCUCGUCCUCCGGCACCGCCGCGAUCCAGUGACGCAGCCCAAUCAUCGGCCUCGAGAAUCAAGAACGCUCGACAACGCAGAGGGAAGGGAAGAUCAUUACAUGUCAUAAGAAAGGGAGUUUAUUUACUGCUCCCUCGAUGUAUUGUUUCCUUUGUUUGGAGAUUGAUUACCAUCCGUGAGUUAAGGUAAGGUUAAUGUGAUUGAGCGAUUUUUCUGAAAAUCAAAUAUUUGUUUUCUAAUUAAUGUGAUUGAGUGAUUUAAGGUAAGGUUAAUUAAUUUAGAUUUGAUCUUUAGAGAUUGUUCGUGAUUGAUUCUACAUUACUAAAUAACUUGCGUCAGUAUGGAAAGUUCUGAUCUGUUUAGAUUUCUUUCGUUGUGUGAGAGGGUGACGCGAAAAUAAACCGAUGAAGUGGGGGGGGACGAAAAAAAAUCUAUGAAAAAAAUCAGCGAAGGUGGGAGGAGGUACCAAAAAAACCAUGAAAGGUGGGACGAAAAAAACCUGAAAGCGAGACUACCAACUGCUCCAUUAGGAGUAGAGAUCCCUUCUUGAAUACUCGGUUCAAUAAAUAAGUUAUUCACACUUCACAGCCAUCCAUGUGCAUAUAUAGUAAGUUAAUAACACAAAACCCGAGUAAAUUUAUGCCACAAAAAGGUUCAGUAUUAUUAUUUCAAAUAACUGAUGCAACAACAAAUAAUAUUAAUCGCGGACAUCAUAUGAUAUUAGCAAGGCGUUGUUGAGGAUGAGAAGCAUGUACAACUCCUCGUUUUCUUUGAUGAGCACCUCCGCACCAGGCAUAUCUGGAAGCUCUAACCAACACACGACGAUAGGGUUGUAAUUCAUAUCCACAAAGUCGGGCAGAUGCAAGAACUGCUGCCCACUCUUGUCACCUUGGUAGUCCUUGAUCAGGCCGUGGCACACGUUGAGGCGUCUCACCACAUCUUCAUACUCCACCUCACAAUAACUGAGAACGUGCAUUGCCACUGUUCCCUUCUUGGCAUCUUGAAGCUUUUGCUUGACCUUACCACUAGCGGCAGUGAUACAGCUCUUAAAGAUGUCGACAGUGACGAGCACUAAGUCACGGAG
rnacentral:lncRNA from 1 species